GGAGCGGUUAUAAAUAGCACCACAAGUACUGAACCAUUUUCACCAACAAAAUUACUCAAAACAGUAAAUUGAAAAGCAAAGGCAAUGAAGUCUGUAUCCAUCUUAGCCCUCUUCUUCGUUCUCUUCUUAGUGCUCUUUGGUAAGCCAGUAAAUACAUAUUUAUAUACUGUUAUUAAUACUAAUCUUUUGUGUCUCAAUUUGUAUGUGGUUUGUACUUUGUACGUAGUGGAAAAGUUAUAAUGUUUCCGUAUCAGAGAAUACUAUUUGAUAAAAGCAUGCUUGAGAAAUGUAAUAACACAUAUUUGAUAUUUGUUUAUACAGAACACCAAAGAUAAAAGCCGCAGAAGAUGAAUGUCUUAAGGAGUACAUUCCAACUGAAGACGAAGUACCUGUUUUCGUUGCUUGUACGGUUCGGAUUUUCCCCACCACCUUUUUGUUUAUCCAAAGGUUUUGCCAAGGAGUGCUUAGGGGGGAGCCCAAAAGGGCGGGGAGGAUUGGCAAAACAAGAAGGGGGGAAAGAAUUAUCAAGCGGGUUUUUAAAAAAUGCAAUUUUUGUGACCUUAAUUUGCCAGCCGGAUGGAACCAAUUUCGGGUCCCAUUCCCUUCAUUUUUGGUCCCCAUAAACCCAAAAUCCGCUAAUGCUUUAAGGCAGGCAAGUUGCGGCAUGCUAACAUCUAAUCGCAAACCGCCAACCACAACCGCCAAAAGUGACGCUUAAUAUGUUUUAACUUUCGCUUUUCCAUGAGUGUGCAUGUCCAAAUAAAAAUAAGUCUACAUAUGAUUAAAAUAUAUAAAAAAAAGUUAAAAGAAAAGCGUGCCUGUGCUUUUCCUUUCUUAUGCGAGUUUUUUCGUGAGUGUUUAUGUUGAAUCCUUCUUAUUCUAUUAAUAAAAUGGCUGGGUUUUGUUUUCUCAAAUUUUGGGUUUGUUUGGGGGCCAAAAUAUUAGUAAUAUUUUGUCGAAUAUACAAAAAAAAAGGGAGAAAAAAAAUUAUUUUUUAACAAGUUAGAGAGAACCACGUCAGCAACCAAAGGCGAUUAAGAGAUGAUCUGUGAUCUAGGGUUUCUCGGGAGGUUUUCAGCCCACGCAAAAGCAUGACGGUACUAGAAUAGGUGGUUAGUUGGAAAGAGCUGUGGGAUGAUCUUCGAAGCUAUUUUUUUCUCCAAUUUAUAGAAAAAUGCACUGGUUAGUUAUGGAGGAUUUCAGUGAGAUAUUCUCCUCCGAUGAACAUUCUUGUUAAGGUGUAGGCUCUGUUAUGACUCCUGAAAUGUGGGAUUUUCAAACCCUGGUUCGAGAUAGAGACUUAAGUGAUAUAGGCUAUCAUAGCCCAUGUUUUACUUGGUGUAAUAAGAGGAAAGAUGGCUCAUUUGCUUAAAACUGGACAAGCUGUUGAUUAACGAUCAUUGGCUCUAUAAUAGCCCUCGAACACGUUUACCUUUUUAUAUUAUUUAUGUUUGGCGUUAAUCAUUUAUUAUAUUAAAACAAAAGCAAUUUUAAAGUGGAUUAUAUUAUCAAAACAUACAAAAUAUUCAGAUAAAAAUUAUUUUAAAAUUAAUAAAUAUUUCUAUUAUAUAGUAGUAUAUGAAUGGAUGUGUUAGAAUUCUUGAUUUAUAACCAAUGUAUUUUUUAGAUUAAUAGAAUGAGCGAGUUAGAAAUAUAUUUUUAUAAUAAUAAUUAUUUUUUUAUUAAUAAAAUGGCCGGAUUAGAAUUAUGUUCUUGGUCAUAAUAUUACUAAAAAAAAAUUAAAAAAUAAAUUAUAUUUAAACACAAAAAUAGUUUUUUGUCGUUUAUUAGAAAUAUUAUAUCUAUAAUAAAACUAAAAAUUAUAUUACAAAUUUUUGAUUAAAAAAAUUUCAAUGCGAUUGCACGGUAUAAAAUCUAGUGUGGAUUUAAUUCGUUACUUCAGUCCUUAGUUUGUCAUAUUACUAUCCAAAAAGAAGAUAUUUUAGUAUAGUGAGUGAAAUUUGUUCAUAAUAGAUACAAAAAAAAAAGCUUAUAGUUAAAUUGACAACUACAAAAAGAAGAAAGUUUAAAUUGUCACUUGCAGGACGUUAUCAUCAAACUGCAAUAUAAACUGGAUUUAUAUAUUUUAUUAAAACAAAAAUAUUUUUAGUGUUUGAAUCCAAAUAAAUUACGAAAAUUUAGAUUUAACUAAAUUAAAAUUUUAAAAAAAUUCAAAAAAUAAAAAUUAUUAUGAAAAUUUAGAUAAAAUUUUAAUUAUUUUAGAAUUUUUUAAACACAGAUUAAAUUUAAUAAUAAAUUUUAAUUUUAAAUAUUAUUUUUAUAUGGUAAAUUAAUAUUUUAUUGUAUUUUAUCAUAAUUAAUCGAUCUAAAUGAUAAAAUAUUUAAAAUAAAUAAAUAUUAUAUUAUAUAAUAAUAUGAUAGAGCUAAUUCUAAUUAGGAUUUUGUAUUUAUACUUAAAAUUUCAUACGGGUUAAUUUAUUAAAAUAUGUAAAAUAUUAAGAAUUAGUUUCAGUAGGGAAUCACCGUUUUAUUAAUUAACCCAACAAAAAGCAUAACCUUUGCUUUUUAUUUUGUGUUUCCGUAUACAUUAACAACAUAAUUUUGUUCAAGAUGCAAGUUGAGGAUUUAGCGAAGAUAAAAUAUAUUUAAAAAAUGGCAUACUCCACGAACUUGCUAUUCCAAAGAUGACCUGACCUAAUAAACAAACUUAUAAAAAAAGUAGGCUGAUGAUCAUCGUAACUAGUACACACUGGGCACGUCAUUGAGACACGUGUGGAUCCCGAUAUCAUCUUGAUGGCAAAUUAAAAGACACGUUGUCCACCGCAUUAACCUUCUCCUUCGAUUCUUGCGCCACCAUUUACUCCGCAAGGACCGCAACUUUGCUGCAUCACCGAUUAAAAGUGAAAGCGCGCAAGACUUCUUGUUGUGAGCACCCUCAUUAAUGAAAAACAUUACUCCAACAAAUAUAUUCGGAACCAAACAAAUAUAUCAGCGGUGUUAAAUGCGUUUGUCAGUAUUGCAGUGAUAUCCCAUUCCCUCUUUUGUCGAUAACCAAAUUCGCCUAAGUGCUUAAUGCUUAAUUAAACAACAAUUAUGUUUUCUAAUCGGAUUUAGACGGUUUUAAGCAAUUUUAGGCAGUUCUAAGCGGUUUUAGGCGGUAAAAAAUCGGAGAACCACCUAAAAUCACCGUCUAGCAUCUAGUCAGGACGGUCAUCCAUCGCCUAGCGCCUAAACGGUCGACUACGAUUAAGCGGCCGAGUUUUUUUGAACAGGGUGUAAUCGUAACCGCAACUACAGAGAUGCCAAUAUUUGAAAACUGUUACUUUUCCAUGAGUACGUCCAAAAUAAAUAAAAAGUCUAUAUUUAUAUAUAUAUAUAUAUAGUAUAUAAUAGAUUAAGUAGACGAAAAGCAUAUGUGUUUUAUGCGAUUUUUUUCAUGAGUGUUUCUUUGAAAUCCUUGUUUUUCUCUUAAUCAAAUGGCUCUAUGGGUUUUGUUUUCUCAGAUCUCGGGGUCGGACUUAGGAUGAUCAAUAGAGAAUCACCGUUUUAUUAAUUUAAUAUCUAGCAAAUAGCAUAACUUUUGCGCUUGUCCUCCUCGUCCGCUUCUAUGUUCAGUGUUUCGGAAGUACGAAGCAAAUUUCGAAUAAUAAAAAUAGAAAGCAUAGCGAAGAAAACCGUUACUGUCAGAAUCAGCUUAAAGAUUUUCGGAGUUUCCCGACAGGAAAACAUUUUAGGCCCUUAAACUAAAAAGGAAUAUAAUAUCACUUUUGUAAUACCAUCCUACCACCAUCCCCAUAGCAUUUCCAUAAAUACCACUACCUAAGUUUUCAAAAUGAGAAAUUACUUUUAUUUAGAACAAAUGUGUCAUUCCUUUCUCACUUUCUUCUAACGACUAAGACAUGUCCUAAUGGACCUCGCCUCCGCGACUUCGAUUUUGAUUUCAUUUUCCGACUCAUCUUCGCUGAUCUCCUAGUGUAGCUUGUACGCCAAGAACUCACGUGAAUGGCGCUGCCUACUUCAUUGUUGUGCCGUACGUUAAACUUAACGUAGUCACGUAGACCAGUCUCUCAAGAUGCAAACAUGGUAUCUAAGGUUACCAAAAUAUAUACAAGCCAGCUUUGUAUCCUCAUUUACUCUUUUUCUGAUUAGGUAAGUAUUAUUUGCAGUACUAAAAUUUCAGGGAGAGAAAUGGGUGUAUUUCCUGGAUUUGGUGGGUGGAUCAAUCAAUAUAAUCAACAACGUCCUAAGGUCAGUUUCAUGUUCAUCAAUAAGAGGACCCGAGGAAGUCAAAUCAAUAUAAACUACUAUACCGGUUAAAUAUACAAAUGAGAUCAUGAUUGUGUUUGUUGUAGUAGGCCGAGUCCAUGAGACCUGAGAAUGUUAAAUCUAGUUCAGCUGCAGAAAAGGACACUAAUAUUCAGGAACCAUGGUAUUGGGAUCCUAGUGAGGACCCUAAGGUUAAGGUAAUAGGCUAUUAAAAAUACUAUAUCAGUUAAUAUAUAAAUUAUAUCAAACUACGAUUCUGUUUGUUGAUAAUUGUAGGCCGAGUCCAAGAAACUUGGGCAUGUUAGAUCUAUGCCACUGUAUGCUACGGAUCCUAAAUAUUAUGACUUAGCUGAGGUGAAGAGGCAAGUAGGACUUUGGGUAGUUCCAAAUAACAAGCAUCCAUGGUAUGAUGCUCCUGCUACGGUGAAGGUAAUAUAACAUAUCAGCAAACAAUAUCUCUGUACUUUUAGGGGUUUUGUAUUUUUUUUUUUCUGGUGCUUAUUAAGAAAUUGCUAGAAUUGAAAAGAUCUUUGUUUGUUUACAUUCUUAUGUUUGAAGGUGAAAACAGAAAAAGGUGUUUGCCAUUUGAACAUAGAAUUCACAUUGGGAUGGCCUCCUCAAGGAGUAUACGAGAUGCUCACUAAUCCAAGAAACGUCUUUUUCUUUCGUAGAUUCGACAAGCAAUUUCGCCAACGUCUGGUUUGUUUGUUUUUCUUUUUCUUUUCUAUAUAGUUGUACGAUUCAAAUGAAGUAUAAAUUAUAAGACAUAAUUGAGAGGGUUAUCUUUUUAAUUCCUACGAAGGACAACAAAUCAACAAAGGUUUUGAAGAAGGAUGGACCGAGGCAGAUCACUGAAGUGGAAAAGACUUUGAGAUGGAAGCUCCUUCGGUGGUCUGGAGCUAUCCCGAUACAUCUAAUCAUCGAUGAAAACCAUCAAAAUCUUACGGUAAGAAGCAUUUCCAUAUCCCUUACAAGAACCACUUCAGUAUUUGGUGAACAAAAUUUGGGUUUGAUCUCUUGCUUAGGCAAAAUAUAAGAAGGAGGAAAUGAUGUACAUGAAAGUGUUUGAGGGUAGCUGGAAAGUGGAGCCACUAUACGCAGAUCAGGAACGCUUGUGCAAGUCUAGAUCACGGACUAGUGAAGAAGAGUACAGAAAAUGUAGCGGCGGACAAGGAAGGAUAGGGUCAAAGGUGACAGUGGAGCAGAUCUUUCAGCCUUCUUCUCUUCUUAACAUGCCACCGGUUUCUUGGUUCAUGCGGUUGAUCACCAUCAGAACCACCAAGGCAUUGCUCGAAGAUCUAAGACAAUAUGUUAUCGACAUCCACAAAAGUUCAGACUCGGUAUGAACUUGUUAUAUUGUGGUGGUAUUAUCGAACCAUUUGAUUAUACAGUGUUAUAAAGUCACUUUAUAGGGAAUCCGAAUAGGAGGAAGAAAAAAAUAUAUGAACUCGAAAAAAUUAAGUAAAUUCAGUUAUCAACUUAAACCAAAACAAAACAAAAUAAAAUAAAACAAACCUGGCAAAUGCUUCAUUUUUUCGUAGUAAGUAAACGUAAGGUACACUACUCGCCCACCACAGAUGUGAUAAAGGAAAACCGCACACACAAAAAAAUGAAAAAAUACAGAUUUACGUGCUUCACCAAAAAUAAUACUGAUUUCAUUGAUAGGCUUAAUAAUAUAUUUCAGAAUUAAAAUGGAAAAAGAUUUAAAAAAGAAAAGUAUCUAAUAUGAAACCCUAACCAAUUGUUAUCGAUGGAUUUUCCGGUGAUUAAUCAGAUAUAUAAUGAUGAUUUUUCUCUUUGAAGAUUACAAUUUCAGUUUAAAUCCCAAAGCAAAGUUUCGCUGAACAGUUAAAUAUAUCAAAAGAGAAUGCUCAUCUGACUUCAAAAACCAUACACAAACUAAAAGCUUCUGGAGAAAGUAACCCUAAUAAAGUUUGUGAAUAAAUAUUGUUGAUUCCAGGAUUGUAAAUAAAUAAAUAAAGAAAUCGAACAUACCCAAAAAAAAAAAAGAACACAAAAGUUUUGAUUUCGUGACAGGAAACGUCAUUCACCAAUUUAUUGAAAACUUCUGUCACCUCAUUCCUAGGUCUCACUUGUACGUCAAGAACUCACGAGAAUUGAGCUGCCCACUUCAUUGUUUUGCAAUACGUAAAACUCAACGUACAACAUUCUCUCAAGAUUGAGAUAUUUUAAUUAACAUUCCACAAACCAUAAUAUAUAUAUAUAUAUAUCUUCAUUUAUUAUUGCUUUCAUCAGGUAACUAUUAGUAUUUGUGGGCUAAACUUUCGAAUAGAAAUGGGUGUAUUUCCAGGAUUUGGUAGCUGGAUCAAUGAUCAGAACACUCAACAGCCUCCUAAGGUCAGUUUCAUUUCCAUUAAUUAGGUAUAAUUAACAGGUAAUGAUUCUCUUUGUUAUUGUAGGCCGAGUCCGAGAGAUCUGAGAAUGUUGAAUCUAAGUCGAUGUCAAAGAAAGAUAGUAAUAAUGCCCCUACUAAGGAGAAGAAGGCAUAUCAUGACGAAAAAGAGGAGGAGAAGCAAGAUCAACUUUGGCAUCAUGCAGAGAAGGAGCAUCCAUGGUAUGAUGCCCCUCCUAAGGUCAAGGUAAGAGAAAAGCACCAAAUAAGAAGCCUUGAGAGGAAAUGGCCUGUAGAAUCAAGAAGAAAGAUCCCUAAAUUUUCUUAUAUUUUUGAUGUGUGAAGGUGACAAGGAAAAAGGGUAUUUACCAUAUGAACAUAGAAUUUACAGCUGGAAUGACUCCUUAUGGAGUCUACUUCCUUUUGACUGUUCCAGAACACGGCCCGUUCUUCGAUGAGGUCAAGCGGCGCAGACUUAUGGUUAUUUUUUCCCUUAUCCUGGUUGUAUAUAUGAUUUGAAUAUGGUAUUGAUUAUAGCAAUACUUGAGACUGUGAUCGAUUUUUUUCUUGUGAAGGAAAACAAAUCAGUAAAGGUAUUGAUGGAUGAUGGACCGAGGCAAAUCUCGAAGGUGGAGAAAUUUGUGGUUUGGGACUUCCUUUGGUGGUCUAUACCUAUCCCAAUAAAUCUAAUUCUCGAUGAAAACAGAAAAGAGCUUACGGUAAGAAGCUUCUCACACAAUAAUAUUAAUCAAUACCUUUGUUUUGUUUAGAUAAAACUUAACUUGGCUUUCUCUUGCUUAUUUUGGAAAGACAAAAUACAAAAAAGAGAAAGUAAUGUUGAUGAAAGUGUUCGAGGGUAACUAUAAAGUGGAGCCAAUAUACGCAGAUCAAGAACGGUUGUGCAAGCAUAGGUUACCAAAGAGCUUAGAAGAAUACAAAAUAUGUAGCGGCGGAAAAGGAAAGCUUGCGGCGAAAGUAACAAUGAACCAAUACUUUCAGCCAUAUUUUCCUUUUAAUCUACCUCCGCUUUCUUGGUACAUCCGUGGGAUUACCAUCAAAACCAGUAAAAAUCUGCUCAAAGCGUUUCAAAAUAUGACUACCGAGUUUCGAAAGGCUCAGCGAAAUCCCUAGGUUUAAGAUAUCAAGCAACAAACAUGGAUAACACUAUAACCUCAAUAAACCUACAGAAAAAAAAAAAAAUUAUGGUUGUAAAUUUAAUAAUAUUCUUACACAAUUAUAAGUGUACAAAAAAUGUAGCGUCGGACAAGGAAACAUUGAGUGGAAUGUGACAAUGGACCAAUACUUUCAACCAAAUUCUCUUCUCCAUUUGCCACCGCUUACUUGGUACGUUCCUUGAUUUUAUACAUUCGUGAGAUUACCAUCAAAACCACCAAAGAUUUUCAAAAUAUUGGUGUCGUGAACCGGUCUCAAACCGGUAUGGGUGGGUUAUACUGUGGUAGUAAUCUCAAACAACUUUAUUUAAAACUGUUAUAAUAAAAUAAAAUAAAAAAAAUCUAUAGCAUGAAAUCAGAUUUGGUAGGUCUGAUUUCCAAGACCAUUGAACAAUGACCCUUUUUGUUUCUGGACCCUUGACCAAAAGAUUUCAUUGGUUUUAGAUUCUCAAUUUCUCAUUCCAAACACACCACUAAUUGGCCUGUUACCGAAAGCUGCCCUUAAGCCGAUUUAAUUAGAUCGGCUCUUUGUUACGUAACAAUCACUACUCAUAAUCGGGUCAUAGGCCCAUUAAUUACAGAUACAAUAAGUCCAUGAUGCUUGGAUAUCACGUCGCUCUCCGACCGCCUAUUUUUAUAUAAAAAAUGUCAAUUCUUAGUAUCUCUUAUUCAACAAAAGACAUUUACAGAUUUUGACUCUUUUGCGCACUCAAGUCUUUUAAUUAAGAAAAAAAAAAAAUCAAAAUCAAAAAAGGAAAGAUCUAUUAUUGGAUUUGAAUUGCAAACCAGAGUCGAAUUUGUGAUCUUGUUGCAGAGCAGCAGAGGAUAGAUUUAGGGCUCGGUUGCGACAAGUGAGAGACACGAGUCGAAAGUAAUGUCCGGCCGAUUCUCCGCGCAUGCUUUAACGUCAAAAGAGGAAUUCACGAGAAUGGAACUGUCCCCAGAUCUUUAGUUCCCGGUCCGUAAGGUACACUCAACCUCCACACAACUAAUUCUUAUUAUUAUUAAUCACCUUUCUUAAUCAAUCAAACGAUUCGCUAUGAGUUUCCCUCAGACCAUUUCGUUGACUUUCUAUUUCCUCUGAUCAUCUGUCAUUUUUUUCAUCGUUGCUCUGUUUUGUGAUCUAAUUACUACAGAAACAAAUGGGUGGGUCUGAAAUUUCAAGAUCAGAGGAGAAGAGCGGUUUUGGGUUCGUUAAAAUUUUUGGAAAUAAUGUUUUACUUCCUGGAUGUUUGGUCUGGAUCAACCAGACAAUUCAAGAGCCUCUUAAGGUUCAAAUUUUCAUUUCCAUCUCAAGAACCCCCAAGAAGCUUAAUCAAAUAUAUCUUCUAGUAAAAUUAUGUUAUCUGUUGUUGCUGUUGUUGUUAUAGGCUGAGUUCAAGAGAUUAAGGAAUGUCAAAGAGGUAAGCUUGAUCACUAAGCCAGCGUCGUCAGAAAUAGUGACUACUAAUUAUGAUGAGGAAAGAUAUGAGGAGAAGUUAGAGAAGCAGUUACAAGCUUGGAGAGAUAAUCCUUCAUGGACAGAUCAACCUCCUAAGGUUCAGGUACGAUGGGAGCCAAAAACACAAAUCCUAGAAAUUACUUAGAAUUGGCAGAAUUUAGAGAAAAUUUGUAUUUUCAAAACUUUUACUUACAUAUUGAUUUUUGUAGGUGAAAACACAGAAAGGUUCGUUUUGCCAUUUGAACGUAGAAGUAAACGUAGGAUUACCUCCUGAAUCAGUCUACAACAUUUUCACCCAUCCAGACAACAAAAGAUACUUCAAAAACAUUAAGGUGCUUGCAUGGUCUUUGUCUUGUAUGAUUCGAAUUGAACAUUACAGUAAUACUUAAGGCAAUUUCCUUAAUCAUAAACAGGAAUGUAUAUCGAGAAAAGUUUUGAUGGAGGAAGGAGCAGUGCAGACCGUGGAGGUGAAGCAAGCAGCGGCCUGGAAAUUCCUUUGGUGGGCUGGAACUUUCCCUAUACAUCUAAUUGUCCAAGAAAACCGAAAAAAUCUCACCGUAAGAUAUAUUUGUCUCUCACAAGACUCUAUCUUGUUGUUCUGUUCUCAAGUAUUUAAUUAAUAGGGUUUCUCUCCUGCCUAUUGUGGGCAUGCAGUCAAAUUAUAGGCAAGAGAAAACAAUGUUCAUGAAAGUGUUCGAGGGCUGUUGGAAAGUAGAGCCAUUGUUUAUAGACGAACAUUUGUGUGAGACAAGAAAGCCAAGAACUCGAGAAGAUUACGAAAGCUGUAGCAACGGGCGAGGAAGGAUCGGUUCGAAGGUGACAAUGGAUCAGAUGUUUCAGCCUUCUGCUAUUCUUACUCCACCGCCACUUUCUUGGUACAUUCAUGGGAUCACCAUUAAAACAACAGAGAGUAUGAUUGAAGAUCUUCUCGCUGAAGCUGCAAAAAUCCGAAGAGGAGGAGGAGGAGGCCAUGAUGAUGAUCAAGGCAAGAACGGCGUGGAAUCGGAGAAAAGCAAAACUGAGGACAUUAAGGAGAGGUGGAGAUCACGUCGGAGGAGAUAUACGAACCGGAGGAGGCUAUAAAUAAAAUAAUUCAAGGAGAUUGUGGUUUUAAGAUUCUCUUGAUUGUUCUGAAAAUUUGGAAUAUUUCAUUACUAUGUGAAAGAAUGCUCUUUACAAAUUUUCCCAAAAGUUGGUAUCAAAAGGGAUCCUCUGUUUGUACAGCUAACAUAAACUGUACCUUCCUAAAGGAAAGAAAAUGCUUUAAAUCUCUCAUAUAUAGUUUCCACAUAUUGAGCUUGUCUAUGUACGUGUAAAACGUGUAUGUUCUUCUCUAUUCCACCUUAUUACGUAUCACACGUGUGAAACUUUCCCUGCAAGGAAUUGGAAAAAGGAAAAGAAAAAAGGAGGUCAAUAAUAUUCUAGAAAUGUUGAAAAGACAUUUCUUAAAUUCCAUAUUUGAUGAAAUCAAAUGAAUGGCCACAAACUUAGCAUGAGUUGGAUUAACAUACGUCUAAAGGAAUAAAGGCUGAUGUGGAGUUUAACAAGAAAAGAUCCCUUUUUUCAUAUAUACCCCAAAUAAAACUUAAAAAGUUUUAGCAAUCCUUGCUCAAUAAGAAAGAAUAAGAAGAGUCUUUUAGUCAUAUACUUUCACUUUCCAUUAAUUUGAUUAGAUGAGAAAGCACAAAAGUACUGAUUCUAAACAAGACUUUGCUUACCCUGAAUCCAUCUCUGUGUUGUCUCUCAAACCCUGACCUUGUUUUUGUCUCUCUGAUUCUUGAUUAUCUCAGCCAAAAGAUUGUCUCCAGCCACUUCUCUCAUCUUCCGAACCAAUUGGUCUCUCCUGAUCUUCCGUUUCUGCAACAAAACCCACAUCGCUGAACUCUCAGAAACAAGAUAAUCUUUUUGAUUAAUUGAUGUUGACAAAGUAGAACGUAACAUACACGAAAAUCAUCGUAACUUCUCAUGAUCAAGUUCAUUCUUGAAGGAUCCAUGGACUUGGACAGCAUUGACAUCAGGGCGGCAAAACUAACCCACGGCGAGCUUGGUCUUGCACUGAAACCACCUCUGCUUAUAACUGAAACAAAAACAUACGAACCAUCCUCAGAUUAGCAUUACAUAGCCGAAAUCCAAAAAGCUUCAAGGAAAAUGUUAUUACCUCUGAGACGAGGUGACCUGAAACUGACGAUGUAACUCGGUAAGAUGUACGAAUUCAUGGUAGAGCUCCAUAUGACAUACUCUCUAGGAUUUUGGAGAUUAUCCACACCAGAAUCGAAUUCAACCGAGCUCGGGGACGAUUGUUUAGAGCCGGAGAUGAUAACCUCAGGCUUCCCAAGGAUUAAACGGCAUAAGAGAAGAUGCCUUAAACCUUCCUCGUCUGGCUCUGUAGCUCCGGCCCUGCAAAUAUCUUUCACUGUUACAUUGCAAUUCAAUUUCUGGAGAAAAAUUAAGUGCGAUUCAAAGAUUGUAAACCAAAUCGAAUUCGACGCCAUAAAUCCACAGAUUUCUCAGUGAAUCGAAAACCAGAGGGGAGAGAAAUCGGACUUACGCAAAGAGGGAGCACUUGGAAGGAACCAAAUGGAUUCCGAUUCCGUGAGAGCCAUCGCCGUUCUCGGAUUUCCGAACCUCGCGACUGCUAAAUCCGUAGGAGAUAAUACCUUGGAUCUCCUCCUUGGAACCAGCGUACCAGCCGUAUUUCACAUUGGGAUCUCCGCCGUUCUUCCUCGCCAUGGCUUCCGUGAAAAUCCGAAACGCAAGAUACUUCGCUCUCGUCGUGAUCCUUUCCGAAGAGUUUUUACGCACCGCCACGAUCGUCGUGUCGGUAGAUAUAGGACCCAAGCCGGAGAGCAAACACGUCCUGAUAACGUCGUGCUCUGGGUUUCCUUCGCCGAGAGGAAUCAUUGAGUCGGUUGAGGAAGAUCCGGUCGAGGAAUCUGCAUCGUCGGAAAGGGGAUCGAAGAUUUCGCCAUCAUCAAGCUUGGUGAUAGACGCUUGGUCCUCAAUCUCAACCCGCGCCGCCAUCACCAAGGGAAAAAAAAAGAACAAAACAGAGAGAAAGUGCGAGAAAAAAUGUGAGAAAAGAGAAAAGAGAAGUUUUCUUGGGAAAGGGGAAAAAAAUGGGAGAAUGUAGAAGAAAGGAGAGUUUUAUGGGUUUUACAGGUGAAAACGGGGUUAAGUCUCAUCUCUCAGACUCAGAGUCGUCGUCCCUCGUAUAAACGGUUUUUAGCGGUGCCGUUACUUUUCUGCUUGCACAACCAGACAUUUUCUCUUUUCACCACUCGAUCAAAUGUGUAAUGACCAUAUUACCCCUAAACUUAAUUACGUUACUUACCCACUGGGUAAGGCAGUGAUGGCACUGUUAUCCACUCACAAGACGGCUAUCGUCUAUUAAUGACAUCUUAUCUAAGGCCAUGUUUAUCGCUGGACUCUUGUUGGGUAUCUGGGUGAAUAUUGGCCCAAAAAUAAAUCAAAAACUAAAUUAAAGAGGAGAAAUGAUCCCUCUUUUAUAAUUUUUGGGAUCGAUCCCACUUGUGUACAUGUCAUGUUGUGAGAGGGUGAAGAAUUUAAGGGAAAAAAUGGUCUUCAUCGACGGACAAAACAAAAAAACUGUCGAUGUCUGAUUUUUUCUUCAUCGAAAAAAUGGUCGUCGAUCUUUGAUUUCUUCUUCUCCGAUCUUCGUCUUCUCCGGUCUUGUUCUUCUCUGAUCUCUGAUUUCUUCUUCUCCGAUCUUCGUAUUCUCCGGUAUUCUUUUUCUGUGAUCUUCUUCUUCAUCGAUAUUUGUCUUCUCCGAUCUUCCAAACUUUGUUUGCAGCUUGGAUUUGUUGACUAAUACUUGGAUUUGUUACAGGAAAAUGACACUCAGUCAAAGCAGUGAUUCGUCAAGGAGCAGCAACAGCUCAAGGGCUCGUCAUACUGGUUACCACGGGAUUCCAUCGAGGUGCUUCUGCGGAGCUGGAACGGUACUUGUUACUUCUCAUACCACCACAAAUCCUGGGCGGCGCUUCUACACCUGCUCGAACAGUUCGGUGAGUUUAGAGUUUAGGUGAUGAUCAAAGCUUGUAGUAUUUUAGGAUUCAGAUGGUCGCUUAACAUAAUUUUUGCUUGUAGGAAGGACUCCAUGUUUGGAAAUGGUGGGACGAGGCAAUUACUGAGGAGCUGAUGGAACUUAAGGCUAGUUUGAAGUCUCUUGAGGCAAGGGUUCGUGAAGAUGAAGUGAAAACGUUGAAGGAGCUUAGUGCUUCGAAGACAAAGGAAGGAAAGGAGGUGAAAGUGGUUGUAGCAUUGGUUGUUCUAAUCGUUUCAGUCGGUGUCUUUGUUAGCUUUGUGAAGUAAGGUAAAACAUGGUACUAUCGGCUAAUUCUCUUUUGGUUUUCAAAUAGUUUUAAAGGGUUAGAAGUGUUGUAUUUUGUUAAGUAUUGUAAUCGAAUGUAAGACUUAUUGUUAUGUUUUUUUCCGGAUUGGAAUGAUGAUAAUGCGGCUGUUAUGUGUUGUAUUCGAAUGUCUGUUAUGCUUUGGUUGGUUUGUUUGUUGGUCAAUGCUUGUUUGCAAGUUGUGAUGCUUUCCACUUCCAAGGAGACAGAGCAUAGGAAGCUUUUGAGGUUAGUGUUUGCUUUCUUAUUUCUUUGUAUUGUAUCUAGUUAGGAUCUAAAUGGAAUUGUAAUCUCAAGUAAAUGGAACCGUGUGGCUACUUAGGUGGUAAUAAAUGCAUUAGUGGUAGCUUUGAUGCCGGUUAGGUAGUUAAUGGUGUGGUUUAAUAUAUCUCUGUGGUGUGAUGAAUGCUUGUCAACUCGGUAUAGUUGUGAGAUUUUGAUGAAUGCUAUCUCAUCUUUUGCUUCUUCUUUUUUGUUUUUGAUCUUCUAUUUAAACACCUCAACUAACAGCUUCACUUAGUAGUAAACACUUGAAGUAAUUGCUCAACUCUCUGUUUUCCAAGUUCAUUAUCUCUUAUUCGUCUACCUCUUCUCUCUUUUUUCCUUUGUAAACCCCUUCAUAAACCCAUGGGUUCUUCCUUUCCCUUCACUCCGCCUUCUACUUUUGUUGACUUACUCACGAGUCAACAAGAAAAUUUCUUGUCCUUUCCAGCCGUUGAUCUUGGUUCUUCCCAAGCCUCCAUCUUCAGUUCUCAGACCGAGGAGACACCUGCAGAGAAGAAGGAACGCCGAACAUGGACUCCAGCCGAAGAUUUGUUGCUCAUAAGCUCAUGGCUCAACACGAGCAAAGAUCCUGUGGUUGCUAACGAGCAGAAGAACAGCACGUUUUGGUCGCGCAUAGCAGACUAUUUCGGUGCAUCUCCACUGGCGGUUGGAAGAGAGAUCCGCGGGCCUAUGCAGUGCAAGCAGCGUUGGCAAAAAAUCAAAGAGAACCUCUGCAAGUUCUCUGGGGCAUACGCGGCUGCAUUGAGGGCUAAAGCAAGUGGGAUGAACGAGAAUGAUGUGUUGAAAAUGGCUCAUGAGAUUUUCUUUACUGACCAUAAGAAGAAGUUUACGAUGGACCAUGCGUGGCAGGAGCUCUGUUACGAUCAAAAGUGGUGUGAACUGACUGCAGCUAAAACAGAUGGAAAGAAGAAAAGGAGGAGGUCUCAAGACGGCACCUAGUCGGAGGCAGCUGAAGGCGAGGAAGGAAAGAAUGCUGAUGAAGCUCAAACUGAGUCACGUCCUCCGGGAAUUAAGGCUGCGAAAUCCAAAGGAAAGAAGUCUAACGGUGAUGGUAAUGUUGUAACUCAGUUUCAAGAGAUGUGGAUCGUGAAGGAAAAGGAGUUAGCGGUCAAAGAAAGACUGUCCAAGAUGGGUUUGCUGGACAGUCUCGUUGCGAGGAAGGAUACCUUAAAUGAGUGCGAUGAGGCCCUGAAGAAGAAGCUCAUAGCAGAGUUGUUUUAGUCGAAGAAGAAGCAUUAGUUUCAUCAGUGUAAUGUCUACUAUAUGUCUGUUUAGUUUUAUGCUUUGUUUUUUUUAUGAAGAGUCUACUUAGUCUUUUAAUGUUUGUCUACUUUUUAGUCGUAUGUGUAAUGUUCAACUAUUGUAAUGGUGGUUUAUGAAUGAAGCUUGUUGUUGUCUACUUUUUAUGUUGUUCUGUAAUGUUCAACUAAUGUAAUGCUUUUAUUAUUUACGUCAAUGUAGACGAGGAGCUGAGUCAGGUUUCCACCUAGUGACUUCGUCGGCAUAAGAAGACAAUGCACCAGAAAACAAAGACAUUCACAAGAGCCCAUGUUGAUGAGGAUCUGAGUCAGUAUGUCAGUAUGUUUGCUUUUGUAGGGUUUGGAUUUUUGCAGGUGGUAAUUGUAUGAUUGUGGAAACACCACAUGCCGUGACUUUUUCUAUAGACUACAUAAUGCAACUUAUACUCGCUAUAUAUAUGUAAACAUAUUUCACAUAUUUCAUCAUCGUUGUAUCUUCUUCUCUCAUUCUCCUACUUGUUUUAAACCCAUUACAAAAAACAAAAGAAUGGGUUCUUCUUCUUCAAAUAAUGAGUUUGAUGAUUUUUUUAAUCAGCACUAUGAACAAGUUUGGGAUCAGCACUAUGAACAAGUGUGGGAUCAACACUUUGAGAAUUUUUUCAUUGAAAAUCAAGAGCAAAAAAAAACAAGAAAAAAGAGAGUUUUCAUUGAAAGAGAGAGGGAACACGGUCAUGAUCGUUUGUGGAACGAUUACUUCAGUGACAAUCCAACCUACCCGGCAAAUCUAUUCAGGCGACGGUUUAGGAUGAACAAACCAUUUUUCUUACGUAUUGUAGAUCAUCUUUCAAAUGAAGUUCCUUACUUCCGGUAGAAGAAAGAUGCACUCGGACGGCUUGGUCUCUCUGCACUUCAGAAGUGCACAACAGCAAUACGUAUCUUGGCAUAUGGCAAUGCUCUUGAUGCGGUUGAUGAGUACCUACGACUCGGUGCAACAACUGCUCGUUUGUGUUUAGAAAAUUUUGUCGACAGAAUUAUAAUGCUAUUAGGAGAUGAGUACCUACGACGCCCCACACCGGAAGAUCUUGAAAGAUUACUCUAUUAUGGAGAGCAACGGGGAUUUCCCGGGAUGAUCGGAAGCAUUGACUGCAUGCACUGGGAAUGGAAGAAUUGUCCCACCGCUUGGAAAGGCCAAUAUGCAUGUGGCCAUGGAAAGCCCACUAUCGUUUUAGAAGCGGUGGCCUCAUAUGAUCUUUGGAUAUGGAAUGCGUUUUUUGGAUCUCCAGGUACGGUAAAUGAUAUCAAUAUUCUGGAUCGGUCACCCGUCUUUGAUGAUAUUAUAAAUGGUCGAGCUCCGAAAGUAAAUUUUACCGUCAACGGAAGAGAGUACCAUUUGGCUUACUAUCUCACUGACGGGAUUUAUCCAAAGUGGGCUACGUUUGUCCCAUCUAUUCCACUUCCUCAGGGUUCUAAACCAUCUUUAUUUUCCCUAUAUCAAGAGUCUACCCGAAAAGAUGUUGAGCGUGCUUUUGGCGUAUUACAAUCUCGGUUUGCUAUUAUUAAAAAUCCGGCUAAUUAUUGGGAUAAAGGAAAAAUAGGUCAGAUUAUGAGAGCUUGUAUUAUACUCCAUAAUAUGAUAGUCGAAGAUGAACGAGAUGGAUACGAUCUACUAGAUCUUUCUACAUUUCAACAUGGAGAAGGAACAAGCAGUUCACACGUGGAUUACUCAUACUCUACAAGUCUUCAUACCAAUAUUAAUAUUGCUGAGAUGAUGGAAGUUCGAAAACAAAUAAAGGAUGGCAAACAACAUCACAAUUUGAAAAAAGAUUUGAUGGAAAAUAUUUGGCAAAAAUUUGGAGGUCAACUAGGAAACAACUGAAAACCUUGAAAAUGUAAAAGUUUUUAAAUUUGUAAUCUCAAUUCUAUUGUAUAAUUAUUCUGUUUUUUUUUUUAAAUAAGAAAUCCACUAGAGUUUCUCCCAAUGUACUUCCAUAAUUCAUGCAUUUCUUAUUAAGUUUUCUAUCUUUAAGUUAAUUAAUAUAAUAUACUGGAAGAAACCCAAAACAUGUCCAGCGAUAACACAUGCUCUUAUAAGAUAUUUUUUCAGAUAGUUAGGUUUUGAUUCGAUCUAAAUAAAUAAAUUAGGUUUUAAAUUCUUAAAUUAAAUAUAGUUUUUCUUGAUAUAUGUAAGUUGCUACUGGUUUCAAAGAAAUUUCUACACACAAGCAAUAAAUUGAGAUUUUUUUGUUCUAAUGUAAAUACAUUUUAGACAAGGAAAAAAUAAAUGUAAACACAUAGUUAAGUAAUAUCUUAAAAGGACAAAAUGAUUAGAUUGAUAUUAGCCAUUUAGGUGGUAAUAAUGGCUAGAGUGAUUUGUUUUCCUUUGAAAGCAAUGCCUUGCUCAGGUGGCUAAAGUUUGGUUUUAUUUAUUUGAUUGAGAAAAUAUAUCUCGAAUACUUUUUACCACCUAAAUGGCUAAUAUCUUUUGAAAGUUUGGUUUUAUUUAUUUGAUUGAAAGCAAUGCUUUGAUUCAGAGCUUCGUAAUCACGUCGUCGUGUAAUGAUGUUGCAGUUUGGAGCAGGCUCGAUACUUGGUCGCUCAAUUGCCGCGAUUUGGAUAGUUCACCGAAGAUCGGGAUCAGAAUUAGUCGCGAGAGCGGCUAAGGCGUCGGCGGUUGCAUUCUCAUCACGAGGUAUCUUUGUAAGCUCGAAGGUUGAGAACUCCGAAGCAACAUCCUUAAGGAUUUUGAGGUACGCGUCCAUGCGGUCAUUCUUGGCCUCGUAUUCGCCGUGAAAUUGGUUAGCCACAAGUUGAGAAUCACAGUAGGCAUGUACGUGCUCGGCGCCGAUACCUUUGGCAAGUCGUAGUCCGGCGAUCAAUGCUUCGUACUCGGCUUCGUUGUUGGACGCCAGGAAGCCAAGGCGGAAUGAUUGUUCGAUAACCUCUCCUUCGGGGGAUUUGAGACGAAUCCCGACGCCGGAUCCUUUUUGGGAUGAGGAGCAAUCGGCGUGGAUAAUCCAAGGUUGUAUGACAGGAUUAGCUUCGACGAGCUCAGGUGGGAGUUCGACCAAGAAAUCCGCUAGGACUUGAGACUUCGUUGCAGUUCUUCCUCGGUAUUCGAUGUCAUACUCGCUAAGUUCAAUGGCCCACUUGGCCAGUCGUCCGGAUUGACUUGGACUAUGAAGGAAAGUGCAAAGAGGGUUGUCGGUUAGGACAACGAUCGAGUGAGACUGGAAAUACGGGCGUAACUUCCUCGCAGAAAUAACCACGGCAAAGGCGAAUUUCUCCAAGGUCGGGUAACGAUACUCCGACCCAUCGAGGGAUUUACUUAUGUAGAAAAUUGGCUUCUGCUCGCCACGAUCCUCUCGAACAAGAACACUGCUGACCGCGAACUCCGAAAUUGCGAUGUAGAGAUAAAGUGUCUCACCGGUUUCGGAUUUGGAUAAGACUGGCGGCGUAAACAAGUAUUUCUUCAGUUCAGCAAAGGCUUCUUCGCACUUCUCAUUCCACUCGAGAUGUUUGUUACCGCGAAGAAGUUGGUAGAAAGGUAAGCACUUGUCUGUCGAUCUGGAUAUAAAUCGAUUCAGUGCUGCAAUACGUCCGGUGAGUCGUUGAACUUCGCGUUUGGUUGUCGGAGACGGGAGCUCGAGUAUGGCUGCAAUCUGUUUUGGAUUAGCUUCAAUGCCUCGCCGUGUGACUAUGUAUCCGAGGAACUCUCCAGAUGUUACGCCGAACGUACACUUAGUGGGAUUAAGCUUCAUGCCAUACUGAUCCAAAAUAUCAAAGCACGUGCGAAGAUGACCGACGUGAUCGGAAGCGACGAGCAAUUUCACGAGCAUAUCGUCAAUGUAAACUUCCAUAGUCCGCCCGAGCUGGCUUGCGAACAUCCGAUUCACCAGCCGUUGGUAUGUUGCUCCAGCGUUCUUCAGACCAAAAGGCAUGACCUUAUAGUAGUAUAUGCCGCGGUCCGUGAUAAACGAUGUCUUCUCUCGAUCUUGCGGAUGCAUAAGGAUCUGAUUGUAUCCGGAGAAUGCGUCCAUAAACAAGAGUAGCUCGUUCUCGGCAGUUGCUUCCACGAGGCGGUCGAUAUGAGGCAAAGGAAAGCUGUCUUUUGGGCAUGCCUUAUUGAGAUCGGUAAAGUCGACGCAAAUCCUCCAUUUGCCGUUCUUCUUCUUGAAGACUACGAGAUUUGCUAACCAAUCAGGAUAUUUGAACUCGGUAAUAGAUCCUGCUUUAAGCCACCGUUCGACCUCGUCAUUGACGGCUUAUGCCUUUUCUGGUCCGAGCUUCCGGCGUUUCUGUUUGAUCGGUUUGUAUGUUGGAUCGAUGUUAAGCUCGUGACAUGCAAUCUGUGGGUCAAUCCCGGGCAUAUCUUCUACCGACCAUGCGAAGGUUGAUGAAUGCUGUUUCAGAAAAUGGAUGAGUGGCUCGCGGAUGUGUGGGUCGAGUUCGGCGCCGAUUCCGACUUGACGCUCUGGCCUUAGUUCUUCGAUGCAAACUUGAACAAUCGACUCCUGCUUAGGUUUUGUCUGCUGGACAACGAGCUCGUUUGUCGGUCCUAACGAACUGAUGACACAAGCUUGGUUGGCCGAAUGAAGAUCGCUAGCUUGUCGAAGAUGAAGAACUGGAUAAUCUUUGCAACUCCACCGAGGUAGACCGGGAUGUUGACCAUGCCGACCGUCAUGCAGCAUUCUCCAUCGAAACCUGUAAUAGGUUCGAUGAAAGGCUCGAUCCUAUCUGAUGAUAAAUCGAGCUGAUCAAGUGCUUCCUUGAAGAUGAUGUUGACCGAACUGCCUAUAUCGACCAGAAUGCGGCUAACUUCGACAUCGUCAAGAAGUAGUUCGACGACGAGGACGUCAUUAUGUGGUUUAUGCAGCCCGAUUGUGUCGGCUUCGGUAAAUACCAAAGGCGUCCUCUUCGGCGGAUCUUGUGGGACUUUGGGCGCGCUGGCGGCCUGUCGACUGUAUUCUUUGAUAGCUCGAACCGAGUAGCUGCAAGCCUCGAUGGCUCCCAUUAUCAUGUUGACGCGUUUCCUUGCUUUGGGAGCAUGGUUCUCUUGUGCUCGGUCAUACGAUUCCGUUUCUGUUGUUCAGGCAAAACAGGCGGAUUUGGUGGCGCGGUGGUAACGCCGGUAAAGUUGGUAACGUCGGUAAAGUUGGUGGAGUUGGUGGAUCCUUAGUGAUGACGUUCUUGAGCUGCGCGUUAUUCGGUCGAGGCAUGUUUGAACGACGGAGAUCGUCAAUCGAGGUCUGUCCACAGUUCCUGGGCGCGUUUAAGCGACGGAAAUCGUCAACUGAGAUUGGCCCCUUUCGAUAUUGGCCGAGUAGGUAUUCACGCAGGUGUCUGCAUUCUUCGGUGUUAUGUCCUCUACGGUUAUGGAAUUCGCAGAACAAAGACUUGUCCUGAUCUUCUUCACCGCGGACCCAUUUGUUGUUCCACUGUUUGGUCGGUUGUUGGAUCGCAUUAGCGUAGAACUUCUUACGAUUCUCGUACCCUCGACCGUAUCCAGACUGUGGUUCGUUAGUUGUUACUUUCGAACGUUCGGGUUGCCUUGUCGAAUAACUCUGCUCAUAACCGGCUUCUUCUUCCUCUUCGGCGAUGUAAGUAUUAGCUCGGUGUAAUGCAUCUUCUAACGUCUGCGGAGGAUUAUGCGUGAUCGCGCUAGUCUUUAUUCGAGCUCCUUUCUGAAGGCAUAAGAAGGCUGCUUCAUCGCUGAUUGUACAAUUAGCGACAAUCGUCUUAAAGCGCUGGAUGAAAUCGCGAAGGCUCUCGCUUGGUCCUUGGGCUAUUUGCCAGAGCUCGGAGUUCUUGAUGUUCUGACCGAUGAACAUGGAGAAGUGUUUGACGAAGGCCGUCGUUAACUCCUUGUAGUUAUCGAUUGAAUUGGCAUCGAGUCGCGAGAACCAGUCGAGAGCUACUCCUCCUAAACUUUCGACAAAUAGUUGGCACUGAACUGCGUCUCUCUCCUCGGCGGAUUUGAACUGGUAUCGAUUCAUGCAGAUGCCGAAUGAUGUUAAAAAGUGUCGGGGGUCAGUAUUGCCUUCAUAGACCUUUAUCUUUAGUUUCUCCAUAUGUUUGACCGGCGUUCCUGCUACGCGCGGUGUGAAGGGUGUCUUCUGUGUUUCUUGAAUGACGCGCUCGAUCUCCGGAGCCGCGCUCGUUGCUUGGUGUAUCUUCGAAGUGAUCUCGCGAAGUUGCGCCUUCAUUUCUUCGAACUCGGCGUCUCGGCUCAAAUCUGAUGCUGGUGCAUUUGCUGAUCCGACUGCGGUAGACCUCAUAGUUCCGGCUGGAUCUCCGUCAGUAUUAAGAUCGUCAAUGAUGUUCCGAACUCGAAGGAGAGUUCGUGCUUGACUGAGCUCGGCGAUUUGUGCCGCCAUCUGACUGAAAUGUUCCUCGCUCCUUUUGUUAAUGGCCUCAAAUUGGGGCAGUAAUUCAGUUCCAUAACCUCCUACGGCUGCGGUGGUUUGGCCGGCUACCGUUCCAGCGUUUUCCCUAGGAUUUCCUCCACCCUGUUCCGCUGGGACGUUAGCGUUCUCUCCACCGAGAAGGUCUCCUUCCUCGUGAAUGUUGGUUUGAUCCGUCAUUGCUGAUUCGAUCUAUCCGAAGUCCGAUCUAAGAUUGAAAAUUCUGUUUAAGCCCCCUACCUGGCGCGCCAAUUCUUGAUAUGUGAAUAUCGAUAAGGGGUAAAACAGUACUUUAGAUCGGUAAACUCGGUUUUUUUAUUAGAUCGAAUCAAGCGAAUACAACUGAGUUCGGUAGUAAAGUAGUUAACAACGAACUGAGACUUAACGAAACUUAAGAGCUUAGCGUAAUGAGUUCUCAGUUCCUAAGUCUUUUCUGGAAUAUCUUGUGUUCUCUGAUGUCGAUUCAUCUCCCUUUAUAUAUAUCUUUUGAGUCGGUCUUUAAGCACAUUUUCGGCGAUAUGGGACCGAGAGGACUUUCCUUUUCUCUCGGUUCCUUUCCUUUUCUCGUGCUCGUUUCCUUUUUUCGUUAGGAAACUUUCCUAUUUUUGACUGAUCUCGGGGAACCUCUCUAUUCCUUCGAGAAGCUUCUCGCCGACCUCGGCCUAAUGGACUGCGUUCGGCCCAAAGUUUUACUAAGCCCAGUCUUCCCGGUAUAUUCCUUCGUAAACCAGACUUAUGUCAUGCCGAUUUUGGUUUGUACCGGAGAAAACCGGAGUGCAGUUUUCACCUCCAACAGUGAAUAUUUAGAUCGAUAAGGAUGUUGAAAAGAACAGGUUUAACGAGCGUUGGCGUUAAAGAUAAACAAUAGUCAGUAGCGACAUGUUAAUGACUCACGCCAAUAACAAUGAAGGUAAAAAAAUGUAUUUAGUUCAUGUCGGUUCAAUGAUAUUUAGCACAAUAAGAUUUAUUAAAAUAUUAAAAUAACCGAUAUUUUAAACUUUGAUUGUUAACCGCCAAAAAAUGUCGUUGAAUCAAUGUCGACAAAACGAAAUUCGUCUCUAGUUAUGUAAAUUACACCAAAAGUAGUAAUCAUCAUUGCACAUCAAAGCCCAAAACAAAGCGAACGUGCCAGUGCCUCAUUGCCUUGUACUAAAAAAGAAGAAAAAAGAAAAAAACUCUAAAAUUGGAAAAAUGAUUCGGGCUUGAUAAACAAUGGGCUUCAGUAAUGUGUCCCUUAUUAAGGCCCUUUUAUAUUCCCAAAUAAAAAGGCCCUUUAAAGAAUGACCUCACCCUUCUUCAUCGUUUUAUAAACCUCGAAGAGUUUUUGGGUCGGGUCGAGAACCCGAUAACAUUCGAAACUCCGUUGAAUUUGCGCGGUAACCCGGGAAUCAAGGAUUGGCCUCCCAAAAAGAAACAAGGGUCAAUACGAGGAAAACAAAAAAGAAAUCACAGAAACAAAUAAUUUCGUAGAGAGAGAAAAAGAGUUUUUUUUUUUUUUUUUGAAUCAAAGGGCACACGAGACGUGUCUACGACUUAUCAUCGCUAAAAAAGAUCAUGGCGAUUUGUUAGUUUCCUUAGCAGUUUUUAUUUUCUUGUUCUCUAUUUUUUUUCCCGGGAAAAUAAACUGAGGGAGAGAGAGAGGUUCUCCUUCUAUUCACGUCUUUAGUCUGUAAUAGCUCGCAUUUUCUCCUCUCUCUCCACCUGCAUUUAUAAACCCUAGUUCAUUUCAUUUUCGAGGAGAAAAUCAAACAUUAAUUUGGCGUUUAGGUGUGUUUUCUGAUUUUGUUUUCCUUUGUUGUUUGAUCAUUUUUAUUGGAUUCAAUUUAUUGACAAAAUAGUUUCCAUAAAGGAUUUUUGGAGGAGAGAUAAUUGUGUUCUUCGUCAAUUGAGAUAAACAUAAGACGAAAUUGAAUUUUCUGGGAUUUAGGGAACACUUUGAGUGUUUGAUUUCUGGAAUCUUAAUCAAAGUAGAAGAAGGAAUUUGAAAAAAAGAAAAAAUGUCAGACUCGGGCAGUUCGCCGAGUUCUUCACCACCAGCACCACCAGCGGAUUCAGGUCCACCGCCGGCUAACUCAUCGGAGAAAUCUGCUCCUCCGCCGGCUAAUUCCUCAUCGCCUCCUAGCCCACCGGCUGAUUCAUCACCGCCACCACCGUCCGACCCAGAACCGUCGCCUCCUCCUCCCGAUUCAAAGCUUCCUCCGCUACCUUCGAUUCUGCCUCCAUUACUCAGCUCUCCGCCUCCACCUGCCGAUUCUCCACCGGCCGAAUCAAACAAUUCUCCGCCGCCACCAAAAUCAACUAAACCCCCUUCUCCUCCUCCUCCGGCGGAUUCAGAAACACCACCGGCUCCACCGACCAAAUCCGAUAACCCUCCUCCAUCUCCAGAAGUUCAAUCGCCUCCUCCACCAACAUCUACAACAAACCCAGAAAAACCACCGCCAGAAUCUCCUCCGUCUCCACCAUCACAACCUACAAAUUCACCUCCGGCUCCACCAUCAAACACCACCAAUUCUCCUCCAACGCUGCUACCAUCAGGACCAGCCAAUUCUCCUCCGGCUAAUCCAAACGCGCCACCUAGCCCACUCCUUGCACCACCUAGACCAAGCGGUGACUCCGGUGGACCCGUCGUGUCUCCAUCUCUCCCCGUCCCGAGCAGAGAAACGCCUCCAACAAACAACAGCAACGGAAAUGGCUAUCAAGGGAAGACUAUGGCCGGUAUGGCUGUGGCCGGUUUCGCUAUCAUGGCGCUAAUAGCAGUUGUGUUCUUGGUGAGAAGAAAGAAAAAGAAAAAUCUUGAUAGCUAUGGCCACUCACAGUACUUGCCACACCCAAAUUUCUCUGUAAAAUCAGGUUAAAAAUCUUUGCUUUUUUUUUUUUUAUCUCCCUGAUCAUCUCUAUGCUUGUCUUGAUUAAAUUAAUUUACUUGUUUGCUUGAGAUGUAGAUGGAUUCUUAUACGAUCAAGAUCCUGGUAAAGGAUACUCUGGUCCUGGCGGUUCAAUGUACAAUUCACAGCAACAUUCCGCUAUGGGAAACAGCUACGGUAGCCAAAGAGGUCAUCAUCAAAUGCCAUCCAACGGCACGCCUGACUCUGCGAUUCUCGGAAGUGGCCAGACUCAUUUCAGCUACGAAGAGCUUGCGGAUAUUACGCAAGGCUUUGCUCGUCAAAACAUUCUUGGAGAAGGUGGGUUUGGAUGCGUCUACAAAGGUACAUUACAUGAUGGUAAAGUUGUUGCGGUUAAGCAGCUUAAAGCUGGGAGCGGACAAGGCGACCGUGAAUUCAAGGCAGAGGUUGAGAUCAUCAGCCGUGUUCACCAUCGACAUUUAGUCUCUCUGGUUGGUUACUGCAUUUCAGACCAGCAUAGGUUGCUUAUCUAUGAGUUUGUUUCGAAUCAAACGUUGGAGCAUCAUUUGCACGGUUAGUGGCUUUUUACCAUUUCUGUUAGUAGCUCAAUGUGCUCAGAUUGGCUCACUUCACGUGUUCUAUGUUGAUAGGAAAGGGAAUGCCGGUUUUAGAGUGGGCUAAGAGAGUCCGGAUCGCUAUAGGAUCAGCCAAAGGCUUGGCGUAUCUGCACGAAGACUGUAAGUCACUCCUCAUCCAUUUGUUAAGAAACCGCUGAUAGUUCAGAUGCAAACAGAAUCAUAGACUUCGUUGUAUGUUUUGGUUAAGCACUUCAUAGUUCAAAACAUAAGAAAAUCACAUCCUUGUUCUGUUUUACAGGUCAUCCAAAAAUCAUUCACAGGGACAUAAAAUCGGCAAACAUUCUUCUGGACGAUGAUUAUGAAGCUCAGGCAAUGAAUAAAACCCCACUUUACUUUUGUAUCUAUCUUACGACUCUAUACACUUUUAGCUGAUGAGACUCGUUGUUUUUUCUUGUUUUUCUGGUAUUUAGGUUGCUGAUUUUGGACUUGCUAGACUCAAUGAUACAACACAAACUCACGUUUCAACUCGGGUUAUGGGGACCUUUGGGUAAGCAUUCAUCACAAACUCUACUCCAAAACUGGACCUUUAUUGAUCAAUUGCCUGGAGACAAGUGUGUAUAAUCUGGCGCGAGAAAAUACUUUUCUUAGUAUUUGAUUGGAUCAAAACUGAAUCUUUAUUGAUCCUAUGUUUUUAUUAUAGGGAUCAAGACUAACAUGUUUUAUGUUCAGGUACCUAGCGCCAGAAUAUGCAUCAAGUGGAAAACUUACUGAUAGAUCCGAUGUCUUCUCGUUCGGUGUUGUUCUCUUAGAACUUGUAACGGGACGGAAACCAGUUGACCAGAACCAGCCUCUAGGAGAAGAGAGUUUGGUCGAAUGGGUAAUAAAACCAAUCUUUGAACAAUCUUUAAUUACAGUGCAAGACUGGCACUAGUUUAGUCAGGCAUUACUUACACAUGAACUCACAGGCACGCCCACUCCUUCUCAAAGCCAUUGAGACCGGAGAUUACAGCGAACUGAUUGAUAGACGGUUAGAAAAACAUUAUGUGGAGCAUGAAGUCUUCAGGAUGAUUGAGACAGCGGCCGCAUGUGUUAGACAUUCUGGUCCAAAACGUCCACGCAUGGUUCAGGUAAAAUUCUGACCAACAAAAGUUCAAAACUGUUGUGACUAACCAAAGUCCAAUUCUGCAACAAGUUCUUGAUUCCAAUUUUAUCUCAUCUGAAAACUCAUCUUUUUGGUAAAAUAAGGUUGUGAGAGCAUUGGACUGCGAUGGAGACUCAGGAGAUAUUAAUAACGGAAUCAAAGUUGGGCAAAGCACAACUUAUGACUCAGGGCAAUACAACCAAGACAUCAUGAAGUUCAGGAAAAUGGCGUUUGGUUUUAAUGAUAGCACAGAGUCAGGGAUGUACAGUGGAGAUUACUCCGUCAAAAGCUCCUCUGAUUUCUCAGGGAAUGAAUCCGAGACUCGACCUUUCAAUAACCGACGGUUCUGAUCAUAUAAAUAGGUGAAAGUAACACAUACCUCUGCCUCUUUCUAAUGCUUUGUAAAGCCAUUCUUUUCGUGUAUUGUGUGAGAUGCAUUUCUUGGUAGGUGUCCUUAGUUUUUGUUCUCUAAUGGCUAAAUGCCCUCAGAAAAAAAAAAAUAGAAUCCAGAAAAGUUCUUAAGAGUUAUUUGUAACUUGUUUUACCUUUUCUGCGUUUUGCGUUCCUGAUUUUUGUUUGAGUGAGGAGGAUAGUGAAGAACUCUGUAUUCUGAUAAAAACGUUCUUCCAUAAAUUUGUUGAUUCUUUUACCAAGAUUCUUACAUAAUUUACUUAGAAAAUUCUACAUACAUCAGAUUUAUUUAGUACCUUAGAUAUACAGAUAUAGAGUAUCUACUGUAUAUAUAUCACACCAAGAGACUAUAAGAAGUUUGAUAGCUUCAGCUCAAAUCAAUCCAGAAAAGAAAAAAGCACAAAAUAAAUAAAAGUUAAAAAAGCAAUGAAGACAUAAACAUAAAGUGGUAGACAAAUUAAGAUCAUUAGUGACCUGGUCGGAACUCGAAGUCAGGACCUCCAUGUCUGAUUUCGCCUUUACCAUGACGGUCUCCAUUUUCGGGUAACUUAAACCUCACUCCAUGUUUGAUACUCGGAGGAAGAGGUGGUCCUCCUCCACCUCUUUCUAUUCUCUUGUUAUCAAAUCCAAAUUCUAUGUCCUCAUCGUGUUCUCUUCCAGAGGGUUUCUCAAGUGGCUCAGGCCGCUUCAUAUCCAACCCAAACUCCAAAUCGCCUCUCUCCCUCGGCUCACGCUCCACAGGCCGAAUCUCACGGCUCUUCUUAGACGAUCCUUUCUCAUGCUUUGGAUGCUUGCUAUGCUGCUGCUUAGCCGCACGGCUUUCCCGGUUGCAUAGCCUCCCGAAGACACAAGCCAUAACCGACAAGACAAGAAUCACGGCUAGGACUAUGAAGACCGUCCCAAAGGAACCGCGUGAGCCAGAGGAAGAAGAUGAUGAUGAAGAAGAUGGGACUGGAUACUGUUUAGUGUAUGCGUUUGGAUACACAACAAUAGGCUGCUGCAUCUGUUGUACUCCUUGAUCUCCCAUUUUCUAUAUAUUCUAGGUUUUGGUUUUCGUUUGGUUCUUAGGGAGUUUAAUAAGAAGAUGUUGGAGUUGUGAGAUGUUGGAGAAGUUUUUGUUUGGAGUUCCUUGAGUAGAGACUAAGGAGGGUUAUUGAGAAGGUGCUUGCGGAACAAGAAAUAUGAAUAUGCUUCAUUCCAUGUGAGAUUAGGGGUAAUGAAUUAAUAGUAAGCAUAUUUGGUGGUUUGAAUAAAGUUGCUAAUGAAUAUGUAUUAUACAAAAGUGACAGGUAAUGAAAAGGAAUAAGACUAAUGGGUCGUCUGAAACCAACAUUUUAAAUUGGAAAACAUUCUUUGUUGUUUUUCUUUCUUUUCUUUUUUAUAAAGAGAGACAACUAAAGAUAUUCUUUGUGAUGUGUAAGUGCAAGGAGAGAGAUGCACUUUGGAACAAAUCUGUUUUCUUUGUGAGAGGAUAAAGUGGGAUUUUGUAACCUUUUCAUCUUUUCAAAGAAAAAAUCAAAAGAUUUAUGGAGUGUGCUUAACCAAUAAUUUCCUCCUCUAUAUUAAAGACAAUGCUUUCAAAUUUUUAUAUAACGUAGUGGUAUGUAUAUGUGCAUGUUAAUGUGUAAUAGAACUGCAAAAAUCCUAGAAAAGAGAUACACAAAAAUAUUCUCUAGAGAAGUAAAAUAAUAUACUCUACAUAGUCAACUUUUUAUUGAAGAAGAGUAUUUUGUAUGCGUAUAUUAGUUACGCAAAUAUAGAUACUGACAGGUGAUUGUUGAUUGGUGAGUGAUACAAUUGAAUACCAAACAGAAUUUCUUUACAUAAACAAUUAUGGAAGAAGGAGAAUAAAAAUAAAAUAAAAGGCCUUAGAAUAGUGUAGAUGGUGUAAGCCCCCGUUUCGAUGCCAUACAUCAUUUUUCCCUCUAUACAUAUAUUUUUCCCUCUAUACAUAUAUUUUUCUUCUUCUUGUGGAUUAUUUUUUGUUUGACGUCUUCUUUAGUUGUUGUGGAUUGUAUAUAUACUAGUUUACUCUGAAUCAUACUUAACUACUUGGUUUAAAUUCUUCCAAUUCUAGUUUCAGCGAAAGCUUUUCUCGACUAAUCAUCACACAAGUUUCAAUUAUUAUAACUGUUGUAAAAUUGCUUUCCAGUGUAAUUGUAUGUUGUAACGAUGCCCCAUUUGGGAAGAUGAAAUGGAAAUUAAUAUUUUUUAAAAAAAAAAAAAAAUUAGUAUUCAGAUGAUCGGUUAAACAAUUACGACUUCACUGUUUAGAGCUAUUAUCACUUGUUCUUUUAUAUACUUAAGUGUAAGAUAAGAUUUUGUUUGUCUCGUGAUAAUUUGUUUUGAGUGAUUGGAUAAAGGGAUCGAAUGUUGUGGGGCUCUGCGAGAGAAAAUGGUUUAAAGUUUACACAACAUAGGGAUUAGCGUAAAGCACGCUUUUGUCUUCUUCAUGCCAUUUUUUUUUGUUUUUUCACUAUAUUUAUGUCUCUUUAAAUCAGUUGAAUGUUUUUUGUGUUUGUGUAUAAUGGCGUCAUCUUUUGAUUUUGCUUGCUUCUUUACUUCCUUUCCGUUAAUGAAGAAAAAACAUUCGUUCUCAAUAAUUCUAGCCGCAAAUUUUUGCUAAACAAUCAUCUUCUAAAACAAUCUUUACAAGUCAUACAUUCUCUGAUAAAAAUCUGGCGCACAAAAAGAAUUUCCGAGGGUCAAGAAACAGAUUUGUAUAUUUAUCCUCUAACAGUAACUCAAAUUUUAAUGAUUAUUAGUCUCAAUAGACGACAGGGUGGCAGAAAUCUCUACAAUACAUUAAUCUUAUCAUAAUUCAUAUCAUGAUGAAUAUCACAAAGUUGUCUCAAUGCUUGGAUGCAUCUCGUUCCGUAUUUAAUUAGGGAAUAUUUUCUACUUAUUCCGCAUGUUUGUGGUCUUAAUAUUUUGCGUAAUAAUAACAUCACUUUAAAUCAGGGAAACGCGGCAUUUCAAAUGCCUAAUAUAUAUUUUUUAAAGUUCCCUAAUUUAGUCAUGAGAAUUGAGCUCCUAGUUUCAUUUUUCGUGGUACGCAAAACGUGUCGUACACUCCACCUUCGAUACUUUUUCAGUUUCAUAUUAUCUUGUCUAAAUCUGAAUCCAUCUUUCUAACUAAGGUUCCCUAAUUUAGUCACGAGAAUUGAGCUCUAUCCCGUUGACUUUUUCUUUUUUAUGUCAAUUCUCUCUUUUUCUCUCUAACUAUAUCUCAGACACUCUUUUUGGAUCAACAUUUCUCUUUGUGGACUAAAUUUUCAUUCAGAAAUGCGUGUGUUUCCUGUAUUAUUUGGUGGAUGGAUCAAUCAGAACACUCAACAGCCUCUUGUAAAGGUGAGUUUCAAUUCCAUCAAUCAAGAGGACACGAGGAAGUAAUAUCAAUAUAAAAUUAUAGAAGAUAGAUAAUGAUUCUGUGUGUUGUUGUAGGAUGAGUCCAAGAGAUCUAAAAAUGUUAAAUCAAUGUCAGAGAUAAAUACUCACGAGGAAAGAGAUGAUACUGAGGAACAACUAAAACUUUGGAGAGGCGCAGAGAAGAAGGCACCAUGGCAUGAUCCCCCUCCUAAGGUGAAGGUAAGACCAAAAUCAGCUAACGAAUUACGAGAAUAAGAAAAAUAAUUUCUAAUACUUUUUAAUGUUUGAAGGUGACUACAUUAGAGGGUAUUUGCUUUAUCGACAUGGAAUUGAUAUUAGGUUUGCCUCCUCAAGCAGCUUACAACGUUUUAACAAAUCCAGACAACCAACCAUACUCCAGAAUCAUUAACGGACGCGAGCUUAUAGUUUGUUUCUCUUUGAACUUAUCAUUGCAUGAUUCGAAUUAAUGAGUAUUAAUUACAACAAAACUUGAGGGUUAAUCUUUUUUUCUUAUAAAGCACAACAAAUCAAGAAAAGUUGUUACAAAUGAUGAAUCGGGGUAUUUUGUGGAGAAGGAGAAAGAUGUGGCAUGGAACGUCCUUUGGUGGUCCCGAGCUAUCCCAAUAACUUUUGUUUUCGCCGAAAACCAAAAAGAUCUUUCUGUAAGAAAUUUUUUUGGCAUAUUAAUUUUUCUUUGGUGUAGUCUUGGCAUAUUGAUUUAGGUUUGUCUUGCUUUCUUUGUCGACAGGCAGUAUAUAUGAAAAAGAAAAUGAUGUUCAUGAAAGAUUUUGAGGGUAGCUGGCAAGUAGAGCCAAUAUUUGUGGAUUCGCAACGCUUGUGCAAGCACAGAUUGCCCAAGAGUCAAGAAGAUUACAGACAAUGUAGCGGAGGACAAGGAAAGAUUGCGUCGAAGGUGAAAAUGAACCUGACUUUUAUGCCAUCUUCUCCUUUUAAUCUGCCACCGGUUUCUUGGUACAUCCGUGGGAUUGUAAUCAAGACCACCAAGACUCUGCUCCAAGAUCUUCAAGCUACGUGUGCCAGGAUCCGAGGUGCUUGAAAUGUAUCAAUCGGUUAUACCAUUUUGGUUAAACAUUAAAUAGUGUUUUAAAAUCACUUUAUUAUAAAUUCGAAUAUAGCAGUAUAUACUGAUCUUCAAAAUCACUUUACUCAUCUCAAAAAUGAGUAUAAUGCUAUUGUUAACAAUUCAAACCUAUUGUAGUUUUAACUAAAAAUUCUAGGUUUGAGUUUUAUUUAGAUAAAAACAUAUUCUAACACAACUAAUUACACAAAACAUAUUGCAACAUUUGAUCCAGUAUAUAAUUGCCAUUAUUAUUAUCACUAACCCUUGUGGGCUUAAUUAUAUGCCCAUUAAAUACGUAUUAAGUCCAUGAUGCUCGAAUUUCACGUACGGCCCAGCAGAAACAUUCUUCAUGCAGUUAUUGCUUGUACGUCAAGAAUGAAGUCAUGAGAAUUAAGCUGCCCAGUUUCUUUUUCCUUUUUUUUUCCUGGGGUAAGCGUAAGGUGCACUCUACUUUCGCUAUUCUUUCAAUUUCGAAUUAUGCUUUUUCUAACUCUAAAUCCAUAUUUGAUCUAAGCUCCCUUAAACCAUAUAUUGUCCCGUUGACUUAUUUUCGUCGAUAAGUUAACUCUCUCUUAGGCACUCGCUUUGGAUCGUCAUUUAAUCUAACAAUUCAGAGAAGAAUGGGUAUAUUUCCUGGAUUUGGUAGCUGGAUCAAUCAGAACACACAACAAUCUCAUGAUCAGGUCAGUCUCAUUUCCAUCAUCAAUUAGAGAACCCAAUCACUGAACUCAAAAUAAAUUGAUUAUGGCUUUUACUGGUUACUACUUAAUUAUCAUCCAAAGCAUCAAAAGUUAAGUUAUAGGAAACCCAUAUUUUAGGUAUUGAAAAGCCUUAAACUAUUAUUAGUCAUUGUAAUUGUUUCAAUUUUUUUUUCAAUGUUGUGUAGAGGAUAUCAUAUAGAUUUUAAAUUUUCUCUCUUUGAAUUUUUUCUCCCGGAAAAAUAAUUUUCCCAGCUGAAAAAAGAAAAGAAAAGAAGAAUAGAACAAAUGAUUUUUAUCUCUAUUCUAAAUAUUGCCAUUUUGAGCAAUAUAAUAGCAAAUAGAUAAUGAUUCUGUGUGUUGUUGUAGGGUGAGUCCAAGAGAUCUGGAAAUGUUAAACAAAAGUCAAUGUCAGAAGAAAAUACUCACGAGGAGAGAGAUGAGAUGAAGGAGCAAUUAAAACUUUGGAGAGAUGAAAAUAAGAAGAAACAAUGGUAUGAUCCCCCUCCUAAGGUGAAGGUAAGACCAAAUCAGCUAACGAAAUCUCAAUACCUUGAUAUUUUACCUUCAUAGAACUAAUUUAAAAAAAAAAGAUCCCAAAUGUUUCUUAUAUUUUCUUAUGUUUAAAGGUGGAAACAAGAAAUGAUCUAGAAUGGGGCCUUUGCCAUAUGCAAAUGGAAUUUACAUUAGGAUUGCCUCCUCAGGCAGCUUACGACGUUUUAACUAAUCCAGACAACCAACCAUACUCCAAAAUGAUCAAAAACCGCGAACUUCUGGUUUGUUUUUUUUUUAACUUAUGAUUCUACGAUUCAAAUUAAAUGAGAACUUUAAACAUACGAGCUUUAACAAAACUCAAUAUUUUGAUAGUGAAUUUUUUUUUUUCUUACGAAGGAAAACAUAUCAAGAAAAAUUGAGUCGGAGAAUAAAGGAAAAAACAGCCAGAUUGUGGAUUCUGAGAAAGCUUUGUCGUGGAACUUCCUUUGGUGGUCUGGAACUAUCCCAAUACGUCUAUAUUUUAUCGAAAAACCAAGAGAACUUGCUGUAAGAAACUUCUCUUUAUCUCUUCGGGAUAUUUAUUAAUCUUUAUAUGUUCAUUCUUGGUAUAAUAAUAAUUUGGUUUCUCUGGCUAAUUAUUGUCGGCAGGUACUAUAUGGGAAACAGAAAAACGAAAUGAGAUACAUGGCAAUGUUCGAGGGUAGCUAUGAAGUGGAGCCAAUGUACGUAGACUCGGAACGGUUUUGCAAGCACAUGAAGCCAAAGAGUCGAGAAGAGUACAGAAAAUGUAGUGGCGGACAAGGAAGGAUUGCGUCGAAAGUGAAACUGGACCAGAUCUUUAAGCCUUCUCCUCUUUUUAAUGUGCCACCAAUUUCUUGGUUCAUUCGUAAGGUCACUGUCAAGACCACUAAAACUCUGGCCGAAGAUCUUCAAACUGCGAGUGCCGUGAUCCGAGGUAUUUGAAACGCACACGAUAAUACUGCUUUGGUAACAACAAGAAAAAUAGUAUUGUAAAAUCACUUUUUAAAAAAAUCCUAAUAGCAUUGUACUGUAAGUGGAUUCGAAACACGGUAGCUUUAUGGUCAAAAGCGCAUACUAAGAUAGAAAAUAAGAGAACUCAUUAGAGAACUUUAUUUAAGUGCUGAAAAUAAAGAAAUGGAAAUUACUUUAGAGACAAUCUAGCUUAGAGAUUUUGGACUGAUAUCAUAUAAAAUGGGGACAAGAGAGUUGCACAAAUGCAACUCCUAAAGUUGUUUUUCUCAAUGUCAUUACACACAUAUAUUCUUCUAAAAACCCUUAUACAAUGUCAAGGCCACUAACACUGAGCAUUUUUUUCAUUAAAUCUCCAGCUAAGUUUGUUGCUCCUGUCAAGCAACCUGUAUAGCAGUGUUGCAAAUUUUCUUGUAUCCGUAUCAUAUAGACUCUUCAAAUAACCAAAAAUAAAUAAACAAAUCGAAGUAAUUAGUUUGACCAAUAGAAACAGAGACAGAAACUAGUAGUUAGUUUGCGGAAAUAUACAAUAGACAACCAUAAUAAUAUUGAUUUUGUUCAUUUCAUAAAUUAUCAUUAGCCCAAGUGACCAAGAGAUUUGUGUAGGCUGAAAUAGUGUAUCUCUAGCUUGUACGUCAAGAAAGAAGUCACGAGAAUUUAGCUGCCCAGUUUCAUUUUUUUUUAAUUGGCGGUACGUAAACGUAAGGUACACUCCACCUCUGCUAUUCUUUCAAUUUAAUAAUAUAUUUCGUCUAAAUCUGAAUCCAUCUUUCUAACGUCCUUGAAACCAUAUAAUAUACAAGAUCUUUGUACGUUGACUUCCUUUCCUCUGUAAGUCAACUCUUUCUUUAUCUCUCUAACUAUCUCUCAGACACUUUCUUUGGACCGUCCUUUUCUCUCUGUGGACUAAAUAUUCAGAGAGAAAUGGAUAUAUUUCCUGGAUUUGGUGCGUGGGUCAAUCAAAACAUUCAACAACCUCUUACAAAGGUUAGCUUCAUUUCCGUCAAUCAAACAAGAGGAAGAGAAGGCAGUAUAAAUUACUAUAUCCGUUAGUUAUAAAAUUAGAUUAUGAUUAUUGUAGGCUGAGUCCAAGAAAUCUGAAAAUGUUAAUUCUAAGUCAGCUUCAGAGAUAAAUACUCUCGAGGAGAGAGAUGAAACUAAGGAGCAACUAAGGCUUUGGAGAGACGCAGAGAAAAGGGCACCAUGGCAUGAUGCCCCUCCUAAGGUGAAGGUAAAGACAAAAUCACCAAAUGAAAUCUCAGUACUUAAGAUUUUAGAUCUGCCUUAAGAGGAAUUGCUAGAAUUAAGAAAAAAAGAUUCCAAAACUUUCUUAUACCUUUUAUAUUGGAAGGUGGCAACACAAGAGGGUAUAUGCGUUAUGGAAAUGGAAAUGGUAUUAGGAUUGCCUCCUCAAGUAGCUUACGACAUUUUAGCUAGUCCAAACAACCAACCUUACACCAGAAACUUCAAGAACCGCGGACUUCUGGUUUUUUCUCUUUCUUUCUUUUAACUUCUCAUUCUAUGAUUCAAAUGAGUAUAAUAACAAUAUUUGACUUGAGAGUGUGAACUUUUUUUUUUCUUUUAAAGAAAAACAUAUCAAAAAACGUUGUAUCCGAAGAUGAACCAGGGCCGAUCGUGGAGGUGGAGAAAGUUGUGCCAGUGCUCGGGAGCUUCCUUUCCUUCCCGAUAAGCCUAGUUUUCGCCGAAAACCGAAAAGAUCAUUCCCUAUAGAAGCUUCUCUUUAUCUUUCAAGAAAAUCAAUCUUUUUGUUCAGUUUUCGAAAAAACAAAUAACUUUAAGUCUCUGGCUUAUUUUCGGCAGGGAGUAUAUGACAAAAAGAAAAUUAUGUUCAUGAAAAUGUUUGAGGGAAAAGUGGAAAGUGGAGCCAGUAUACGUAGAUUCUGUACGCUUGUGCAAGCACAUGAAGCCAAAGACUCGAGAAGAUUACAGAAAAUGUAGCGGCGGACGAGGAAAGAUUGCGUCGAAGGUGACGGUGUCUGGAGUCUUUCAGCCUUCUUCUAUCUUUCUUCUGCCACCGUUUUCUUGGUACAUUCGUGGAUUCACCGUGGAGACCACCAAGACUCUGCUCCAAGAUUUUCAAAACCUGUCUGCUGCAAUCCGAGGUGUUUGAAACGGCACUAAAUGCGGUUGGUAUAAACAUUUAAAUAGUGGUCUAAAAUCACUUUGUUAUUAAAUCCGGAGAGGAGAAGACUAAUCUUCAAAUUUUUUUGAAGGAAAAAACAAAAUCGGUAGUUUUCAUUUGAUGAACAAAAUAAUGUAAAAUUUCAUCAAUCUAAACAUGUUUUUACUUCGUCAUUUCGCACACAUUUUCCCUGAACAAAAUAAUUUAAAAUAAUGUAAAAUAUCAAAAUAUUGUGAACAUAAGACAAGACAUGUCAAUGACUCGAUAUUAAAGAUUGCAAAAUAUCUGCUAAGAGAAACAAGCACUGGAUUUGGAAACAGAACAUUGAGCAAUAUAGUUUAAAUAUUAAACUUAAAUAAAAUACAUCUAAAUAGAAAUCGAUCAUGCGAGUUUCUCCUUGAGCUCUUCUAUAAUCUUUGGUGCAAUCGUUUGAUAUGACUUCUCGCUCGGGUGGGCAAAGUCCCAAAACACGUAACGAGCUGCAUCCAAGCACGGAACAGGCGAUGUCGGCAUACAACAACAUCCAUCAGCGACAUCAAUAAACCCUAAUAAUUCCCAAUAAAACAAAAAAACAUAUUAUUCUUUACACCAAAAAACAGAUCUAACGAAUAUAUAUAUUUGUGUUCUCAUUGAGUCAUGCCGUUACCUGAAGCCUGAGGGUUGUUGAUGAGAUUAAGAAGAGGGUUAUACAUGUCUACAUAGGCGAAUUUGGCACCAGGAAGUGUCGUCUCGAGAUUGUUAAGUUUCUCAGAUAACUUUUUGUUGAAUAAAUCAGCCCCUUGAUUUACAAGGUUUGAACAUAUUUUCAGAUAAUUUCCAGCAACGUUUCUUGCUCCUGGCAAACAACCUAGUGGUAGUGUUCCCAUAACCCCAAAUUUCCUUGCACCCAUAUCAUAUAGACUCUUCAAAUAACAAAAACAAGAACGAAUUAGUUUCCAAAGAAAAAAAAAUUAUGUUAUAACCUGAAAAUAAUAAUUUUUUACCUUUAUAAGAUUAUCAGUCCAAGUGACCAGGAGAUCAGCGUAAGCUGAGAUAGUGUAUCUUGUUCUCCCAGUCGAAAAUGUGAUGGCAAGAUCGUUAUUUCCAGCUGAUAUCAAAUAAACGGCGUUUGAUAAAACUGCGUUUGAUUUUUCUUGGCUUCCAACAACGCCGUUUAGUUUAGUGACAUACUCGUUGAAAUCUUUCACCUGAUCUGGCACCCAUACAACUCCCUAUAUACACUCAUUCCACAUACAUGCAUUGAUUAAGAUUAUAAAAAAAGAAGAUAAUAAAGAACGAUUACAAAGAAACUACUCUAAACAAAAUAUAAGUAACUUUUACUUGUAAUUUGGCAGUGCGUUCAUCAAGUCCGGAUCCAACGGAUGCAAAACAAACACCGGUUGGAAGAUCAUUGUUCGAAAGGUUGGGAUCGCGGUAAGCUGGUAAGAGAGUUUUUAUGCUCAAACCUUCGGCUGCACAAAAAAGACUUAAACUGUCAAAUAAAAAAUUGGUAAAAUAAAAACUUUUUCAUUAGUAAUCAUGAUUAUCAUUGAAAAUGAGACCUUAUAGUAGUACUUGGCUAUUUAAAAAAAAAAAAAAAAAAAAAAAGAAACAGAUGUUAAUGUACCAAUUAUAUCUGAGAAAAUUCUUCCAUUUCCACAUCUUCCAGUAGCUUUUCCGCCUGUAAAAUCUCUACCAUACGGAAAGAAAUUGCAUUUGGACUGAGUCCUGAGAUUGUUGUUGUUGCCUGUAUCGAGUAUCGAAUCUCCAAAAGCAAAGAGUGCUGAAACUGUUGCAUUUCCUGAAACUUGCUGAGCAUGACCAGCAAUAAACAAGCAAACAGAAGACAAUGCGAAUGCUAAUAGCAUUGUAGAAAGUAAAGAGAAAUUCAUGUUUUUUCGCUAUCAAUUUAUUGAAUAUUUGUGUAUGAAAAGAAAACGAUGAAUAUUCGAUGUCAAAAGACAAUGCUAAUGCUGUUAUUUAUAUACGAAAAGAAAUUGUACAAAUUCAAUGGAUUCUGAUCUCAUAAAUGAUAUAUUGUAUAUUUUGGAAAACAAAUUUUGUGAGAAUAUUUAGUAUUUCCUAGAUUGAAUACACAUGAAAAUUCUAAUCUAUAAUUAGCAAUCAAUAGAUGUGUAUGUAGACUAGUUCUUGAUAUUAAUUAUCCGAGUGCUUAUCAAGUAUUUGAUUAUCCUUCCUUGUUACUAUCCUCUAAUCAAAGUGAUUGCUGAUAAAAAUUGGAAAGUCGAUUAUUCCCCCGAUGACUAGUAUAAGACAGUAAAUUCAAUGGAUUUUGAUUUCAAUGAAUGAUAUAUUGUAAAUUUUGGAAAACAAAUUUUGUGAGAAUAUUUAGUAUUGCUAUAUUGAAUAUACCCGAAAAAAUUAACCUAUAAUUAGGCAAUCAAUAGAUGUGUAUGUAGACUAGUUCUUGAUAUUAAUUAUCCAAGUGCUUAUCAAGUAUUUGAUUAUCCUUCCUUGUUACUAUCCUCUAAUCAAAAUGAUUGCUGAUAAAAAUUGGAAAGUCGAUUAUUCCCCCGAUGAGUACUAGUAUAAGACAGUAAAUUCAUUGGAUUUUGAUUUCAAUGAAUGAUAUAUUGUAAAUUUUGGAAAACAAAAUUUGUGAGAAUAUUUAAUACACAUGAAAAAAUUGACCUAUAAUUAGGCAAUCAAUAGAUGUGUAUGUAGACUAGUUCUUGACAUUAACCAUCCAAGUGCUUAUCAAGUAUUUGAUUAUCCUUCCUUGUUACUACUAUCCUCUAAUCAAAUGGUAAAAAAUGGAAAGUCGAUCUUUCCCCCGAUGAGUACUAGUAUAAGACAGUAAAUUCAAUGGAUUUUGAUUUCAAUGAAUCAUAUAUUGUAAAUUUUGGAAAACAACUUUUGUGAGAAUAUUUAAUACACAUGAAAGAUUAUUCCCCGGAUGACUAGUAUAAGACAGUAUAUCAUUACCUUUAAACACAUUGACUUUGAACAGUAAUCCCAAAAAUGUUCCAUCCAUAUAAUCUUUUGGAAUCACAAUGAAUAUUCAUUGUUAUACAGAUACACAAAUUUAUUGACCAAAAUCAAGGAAGUUAUGUAACGAAUUCGACGGUUUUAAAGUAAAUUACUAAUGCAAAAAAAAAAUAAGGUUUCUAUGACCGAGAUAACAAACAUUUUAGUAUUUCACACAAGAUCAGGUUCUUACACCAAAUCCGGUAAUGUUGAAUUUAUCAAAAUUUCAUUUUAGCAAGAAAGUGAAGAAGGUCUUAGAUAACAUAGGUACGCUCCAUGAUGUCUAUAAUCAACGUAGCCGCAGUUGCAACUUAUGGAAUCAAAGUGCAAAAGUAAAACGUGACAACAACAAAAAAGCCACGAAAGUAGUAGAUUAAAUCUUCGAUUACAGUUUUACCAGACUAUAUAAAAGAUAGUUUCUAUGUUCUACAUACAAGAGACCCCCACCUUACACAAAUCAGAACAACAAUCACAAAAUCAAUCCACUUACCCCAAAAAAACAAAACAGAACAAUAAGAAAACCGGAAAGAAAGAAAGAAACAAUUCAGAUGAUGUUUGCCCCUGCAUCCAGAUUUGACCAGCAAAAUCAACUCAACAACGAACUUUCCCUCUACGCCUGCACAACCAGCAACAAGAAGAGAGAAGAAAGAAUUACAAUUUGCACUAAGAUACUUAAAUCAAAAUAACUUGCAAUUUAGGACACUUUAUUACCUUGCCGGCAAUGUUGUUGGACAACCAGUCAAGACCUUCGUAAAGCCCUUCACCUGAAGUGGCACAUGUGCUCUGAAUGUACCUGGAGAGAGAGAGAGAGAGAGAGGGAGAGAGAGAGAGAGUUCUUAGACAUGAAUCGAUCUAGAGGUUUUAUUAUAUAAUCGUUAAACUAUAGCAUUAAGAAACUUCUAAGCACAUAACCAGAAUAAGCAGGGAAUACAGAAGAUUAGUUAUGUGUUUUAUGUACCAGUGACGCUGACGGAGAGAGUGGAGACCAAGCUUAUCAGUGAUUUCAGCUGCGUUCAUGGCAUUUGGAAGAUCCUGCUUGUUAGCAAACACGAGCAGAACAGCAUCACGCAGCUCAUCCUGUAAAAAACCCAACAAGUGUUUGGUAAGUUUACUUGCAUGCUCUUUACUACAAUCAAGGAACGCUCUGGAAACAAACCUCAUUCAGCAUUCUGUGCAAUUCAUCUCUAGCCUCACUAACACGGUCUCUGUCAUUGCUGUCCACCACAAAGAUAAGACCUUGAGUGUUCUGGAAGUAGUGCCUCCACAAGGGACGGAUCUGACAACAAGUGCAGGUUUUAUGCUAUGUCAGUUUAUUUGGUUCAAAACUUCAUCAACAGUAAUACCGUAAACGCACAAUAUAGCAAAUGAGGAAUUAGAUCCCCAGGUUUUAUGAUAACCAUACCUUGUCCUGACCCCCAACAUCCCACACUGUGAAACUGAUGUUCUUGUACUCCACAGUUUCAACGUUGAACCCUGUAGAUGAUUUGUACUUAAAAUUAUCAAGGCCGAUGGAAGCAAAAACUGACUGACAAAACAAGUACAUAUUGCUAGGAUAAUCUAUAAUCUAUAUCAGAAACCUCUUUCUCGCUUGGAAUUAAGCUUUCGAAAACACGAAUUGUGAUGUUAAAACUUACCAAUAGUGGGAAUGGUGGUUACGAUCUCUCCGAGCUUGAGCUUGUACAAAAUGGUGGUCUUACCAGCAGCAUCAAGACCAACCAUCAGAAUUCGCAUCUCCUUCUUUGCAAAAAGCCGGCUAAAAAGCUUAGCGAAAGACAAACCCAUCCUGCUUCACUGGGAAACCAUAAGACACACAGAAUCAGAGCCGCGCAUCACACAAAAUGCAUUAGCAAUUACGAAAGCAGUUCUAGAUCACGAGAGAAAACCCCAAAAUACUUUUUUCUAAGAUAUCAAAGACCCAUAUACAAUAUAUUGACUCUAAAAAUCUCUCUGAACAAAAAUAAACAACCAGAUAAGGGAGAUCCAAAGUUAUGCACAAAGGUCCCAAAAUCUAAUGCUCUUAUCGUAUAGAUCGUCAGUCUAUAUGCAGCAAUUAUGGCGAAAAGAGGUGAAACACGAAGAUAAUUUUCAUAGAUCCAGACGUAGACUCUGCAUUUGCAGAUCGAAUCAUAAUUUUCAACCAAAACAUCGAAAUCUCAGAACAUUACCCAACGAUGAGCAGCAUAAACCUAAAUCAAAACAAGAGAUCCAAUUCCCAAAACCAUCAAACUGAAAAAUGGGACUGCAACCUAAGAACAAAAUGGAGGACCUGCAAAUUUGCUCGGAUUGAGAAUACAUUAGCAUAGAUCUAGAUCAAGCGUACCUCUGCGAAAAACUUUCGAAGAUAUCUGAGAGAGAUCGCGUAACAACGAGCUAGACACGAACGGAAUUUGAAAGAGAGAGAGAGAGAAGAAGAAGCUUCAAAACAACGCUAAAUGCGCGACGCCGUGAUGGUAAAACGGAGAAGAUCUUUAUAGAGCCAAAGGACGAAAAUGUCAAUUCGCGAAUAUACCAUUGGGAGUACCGAAAAUACCCUUAUAAUACUGAAUUUCAGAAGAAUGUUUUCGUGGAGAGUCUUGAGAUUACGCGGUUUACAUGCGAUGAUGGGUGAUUGGCUUUGGAUGGCAUCGGAUCAAUCAGGACGCGCCACAUCAGUAUCAACGCUUGUUGACGUUGACUUGUUUUUGUAUAAUUCUCCGAAUUUUAUAGGUAGAAAAAAAUUGGCCAAAUAGAGGUUUUCAAUCCUGAUUUCGGUUCGCAUUAAUUCAUUUUUUGUAAUUUUUGGGAUUUUUUGGUUAAUGAGAGUUUCAUAUGUUUUUUUAUCAAAUAUUUUUUUGAUUUUUAAUAAAAUAUUUAAGUUUUAGAUAAGCUUUAUUUUUAAUUCGGUUUGAAUUCGAAAUUGGAUGGUUAUUGAAAUAUGAUUUAUAUUUUUGGAUCGGUUAUUUCGGUUUGAUUUAGACCAGAUUAUCAGAUCGGUUUUUAAUAACACUGGCCGAUAAUACCAACCAUAGAUAUUAUAUGUGAUUACUGAGAAGCUCAUUGGUAUAAACCAUAACCACAUUUUUAGAUCAUAACGACAUAAAAACAUAAACUAAUGAUACAUUUGAGUGUGGGAAAUUAGAAGAGUUAAACUUUGUUCAACCAAGAUCAAUCAUCACUAAUUGUUCUAAAUCAAUAGCAAUAACAUUUGUUUCUCAAAUACAAAAACUUCAGUCUGUCUAAACGGUAGGAACAAUAGUGCCAAUAUAACCAACUCCAGCAACAAAAAAUGCACAAGCCUGUAAAAACAGAUAAACAUAGAAGUAUGAUCCUCCAUAAGCGAAAUCGUAGCAUCCGCAGAGGAAAAUAUACAACCCAACAACAAGUUCCCUCCAAUUUAUUCUGCAACAAGUUAAACUAUAUAUAUUAGUUACAACAUUCAAAAUUGCUUGAAGGGUGUGUGUGUUUUUUAAUUUUACUUUAGUACCUUUGUCCAAAUCUGGUAUAAAGCUUAGUUGUAGCUUUAGCUAUUAACUUAGACCUGAGAGUAUCGCCUAGUUUUUCAGUAACAACCCAUUCAUUAACCCGUCCUGCCUCUAGUAGCCCGAUGAAAGUCGCCUUUGUGCGAUGCAUCGACAUAACAUUCUCGAAUAAGAUCCAAAAUACAAGAAGAUGGAGUGAUCUGCAAUUACCAAAACAUUUCUUUUUAUCAAUGAGAAAUUGGAAAAGAAAGAAAAAAACAGAGUUUUAAUGGAGUAGAAGAGAAGUUACCGAGGUGUAGCGAGAGCGUUAAGGAUAGUGAUUGUAGUAGGAACAUAAACAGUUGCCCAUUUAGGAACUUGGAGCUCAGGAAACAGAACGAUUGUUGGUAAAAUCAGACAGUAGAAGACAAAUGUGAAGAUGUGUACUACAAUCUUCCUUAUGAAGAAGAAAUUGUAUAUGAGAUACAAUUUCUUCCACGCAGACACUUUCUUGUUCUGUAGAAUCUCCAUUGUCAUCUUUCUCCAGAGAUUAGCUGGUCCACAAGACCAUCUGUGUUGUUGAAAUCGGUAUGCUUUGAAUGUGCUUGGCAAUUCAUUUUUCACCUGAUUUUUAGAAUAUCAUAUCUUGAAUAUAAUCUUUAAACUUCUUACUUGUUAUAUAGUAUGAAAAACUGAGUUUUAGUAGUACCUCAACGUCAUGGACAUAGACAAAUUUCCAUCCAUGAAGACAAGCUCUUACAGCUAAAUCCAUGUCUUCUACAGUUGUUCGAUCUUUCCAUCCUCCAGCUUCGUUUAAAGCUGCGAUUCUCCAAACACCUGCGGUUCCAUUGAAUCCAAAGAAACCAUGGAUUGAAGAUCCAGAUUCUUGCUCAGCCAAGAAAUGGUAGUUUAGUGACAUCUCUUGCAUUCUUGUCAUCAAACACUCGUCUGCAUUCACUACAUUAUGUGACACACAUACACAAAUGCUAAUUGAGAAUCUCUCGCUUUGAAUCCAAACAUAUUGAGAAUGAUGAUUUAUUUUACCAAACUUCCAACGGCUUUGAACAAGGGCGAUUUCAUGGUUGUGAAUAAGAAAAGGAAUGGUUCGAGCUAAGAAGUCAGGAUCAGGCUGAAAAUCAGCAUCGAAAAUGGCCACAAAUUCGCAUUGUUUCACAUAGUUGUGCAUCAUCCCUGCCUUUAAUGCUCCUGCUUUGUAUCCGACUCUGUUAUCUCGAAUCUCUGACAUUAUGGUUAUGCCUCUUCUAGCCCAUUUAUCACAUUCUGCAUUCACUAGAUCCUGUUUUUUUUUUCAAUCAGUUUAUAUGUCAAAACCCUUCACAGAUGAAAAUAAUCAUAUAUAAAAACCAAAGGUUUUUGGGAAAGAAGCAAAAAUUGAACAAAGGACCUUACUAGCUGGAUCUGUGGAAUCAUCAAGAACUUGAACUAUCAUUCGAUCCAACGGCCAAGAUAGCCUGCAGGCUGCUCCUAUAGAUAACUGACAAACCUGUAACAACAAGAAUAUGAUUCCUUCAUUAGGAAGGCAUAAAUAUAUAUAUGAAGUUAAUUUAGCAUGGUUACAAGAAAUAAAUGAUCAUUCACCUCUUUUUCAUUGUACAUUGGGAUCUGGAUAAGAACCAUUGGGUAGUUUGUGUUGGCCAGCUCAAGAUCAUCAUCUUUUAUAGCUUCCCAUUUGUGUACUUUCUCAGGUGUUCUUCUAAGUAUUUUCACAAUCACUACAACUAUGCUCAUAUAAACUCUUUCUAUGAACAGCAAAAAUGACAUCACUAAACAUAAUGUCACUAAGAAUUUCAAGAUUGGUAUAAAGAGAAAGAUUCUUGUCUCCUUCCAAAUGUAUCCAAUUUCUCCAAUAAUGCCACUUCUAACGAUCUCGUCUGCAUCUGAUGAUAAUACUAAGUUGUGUCUUUGGACCUUAAAACCCCCAAAAAUCCAAAAAAGGGUUAUAUAAUAUAAUGUGAAAGGGUUAAGAAUCAUAACUAAGUGAAACAGAGAGAUGACUCACCAGAAACCAAGAGGAAGGUGGGAGAGAAUCAUAAAGAAAGAGAAAGAACUUCAUAAAUUGAGACAUUUUUCUUCACUGCUCUGAAGAAGCUCAAAACCUGAACAUGGAGGAAAGGUUUUCCUCUAGCAGAGAUCUUGGUUUGUGUCCUGAGUUUGAUGAUUCAUAACAAUGUCAGGACCAGAUCUUGUUUUUGGUCCUUUUUUAAAAAAAAAAAAAUAUAGCUACUAGCAUCACAUUCUCUUCAUUUCCUUUUUAUUAUAAUGUAGAUAAAUUAAAGAGAAAAGAAAAGGAUUGGUCAUAUAUAAUUAAAAGUGUUAGCUAUGAUUUGAAUUGGGAUGCAUCAUGCAUCGUUAGUCAAUUUCAUCCACUUGCCCAUUCCCCUGGUAGAUAAAGCCGAAGUUAAAUGUUACAGUUGUACUCGUUAAUAUUUUGUAAAGGUGAUGUUGACUUUUGCUCCUAUUUUUCUAAUAUUGAACAUUCCUCCUCUGCUUCAAGACUGAUAAAAGUAUAAACAAAAUGUUUUUGACUUCGUUUUUUGAAAUGUUGCAAAUAAAGCUUAGUUUUAGUACGGGAAGAACAUACAUAUAUAUAAAAACAUGAAUACAUGAUGUAGGGUUGGUUUUCUGAAUGUUUAGUUUCAAAAGAUGAAAAACAAGAAUAAAUUUUAAGUUCAAUGGCAGGGCUUUUGUGAAAGAAAAAAAUUGGGGAUUGAUCAAUGAAAUAAAACAACACACAUUGGAUCUGCAUUAUCAACUGAACAAAAUUAAACAAAAAGUUUGGCUGUUCAUAGAUACAGAACAUGUACUUGAAUUUCUAAAAGUCAUAAACCUUUAGAGGCUAUCACUUACAAUUUUUGAUUGAGAAGUAGAACUUGAAAGAAAAUGAAGAUGGAGCAAAUGCAAUAAGAGUCGAUAAGACUUUGACAAAUGAAAUUUCAGAAAAAUGGAGAGUCUUGUGAAUAUACCUAAGAAACUUUCUCUUGGCCACCAAAGAGAUCUCUUCAAUAUGGCUUUUCGAGAGAAAAAGCCAACCACUUUCUGCUUCUUCACAACUUGCACUAUCUUUUCUUUUUGGCUCACAAUAAUUUACAAUAAGGUGGAAAUGGAAUGAACAUGAACAUUAUUUGUUUUUAAUGGUAAACAAACUCAUUAUUCUCGCACGUCUUAGAUUCUCCGGGUCUCUACCAUAUUAGUUUGGUUAUUUCUUCGUUUUUAGGAAAAUAUAUCUUUAUUUGCAUUCCUCUGGAUAUAGACAAAACAAUUAAUUUUAAUAAUUAUAUCAUAUACCAUAUCAAUUAGUCAUUUUGAUUACCAAUUCAUAUUCUAGUUUCACAUUACAAAUUGCAAGCCAAGACUAGAUCUUAGGCGUAUAGUUGUUGAGUUGAAUUAAAAAGAGUAAAUAAAUGGGUUGGCAUUGGUCAUUGAUGUUUACAGCUACACACACAUUGCGAUAAUUCGAAAAUAUUAAUUGUGAAAAAGAAAGAACAAAAAAAACAGAGAGGGAGUUUCGCACGUGCCAAACAUAUCAAACAAUUUAAUCUCAAUUGCGUCCUUUGGUGUUCCCAUGUGAUGUGUUCCAAUCUAUAAAGACUCAGUUGAGUCUAAUAAGCUUGACAUAUAAGUAUUCCAUCUUUUGACACAUCAACUUUUGAAAAAAUUAAUUUUCUCAAUCCCAAAAAAAAAAUUAAUUCAUCAACCAUGACAUAAAUACAAAAGUAGUUUAUAUCUCGAAAAGUCAUUCUCUUACAAUAAAAAUAAAAUGCAUUAACUUGUAAUGUUACCACUUCGUAAAGCACACCCGAGAAAAUUGAACGAUACUAAAAUAAAUUCGAAGAAUCAAGAGCCAUAAUCAUAUGUUAUUAUAAAAUAGAGCGGCAUUCCACCUAUUUUUCAGCUUUCUCUUACACGCUCAAAGAGCUCCAGAAAUCAGAUAUAGCGCCACUGUAGUCACGUUCAUAACCAACAUUAGGAAAGAAUUAAGGUUUUCAAAUAACAUAUCCAAAAUACAGAUUUUUUGUGUUACUUUUGUUUUAGUGAUUGUGGCUUUUGGUGUUUCAGAUCAGAAAUGCGAUCAAGUAUAUGGAUAUAAUCACUCUACGUGUCUACGAGGAGGCAAUGAUAACCAACCCUUCCCUCAUAGAAAGAGAGCUAGGAACAAGCUGUAUGUAGCGUAAUUACACAAUAUAUAUAUAUAUAUCAAUAUUCCUAUUUUAUGUAUAUAUAAGAAAAAACUUUAUGAGCCAUUAAAAUAAUUAUUUCUUGUUUUCAUAUUAAUUUAGAGUUUUAUGCGACAUUUUUUGUUGUUUGCAAAACAUUUAAAAAAUCAUAAAUAAUUUCUAUUUAUUGCAUACAUGAACAAUUAUGAUAUUUUUGUAUUUGUAAUGCUCUGGUGCCUAACAAUAUUAGGUUUAGAGCAGAUGAUAUAACAAACGAAGUUGAAGUUUUGGAGGUAUUUUUUUUCUGUUCAAUUUCUGUUUAUAGUUUUCGUAUAUCUUUUGUAAAUACAUAAGACUGACAUAUAGUGAAUGUUUAAUUCAAUAUAAAAUUAGCUAUAAAAUUUUUUUACGUAGCGCCUUAUUUUUCUAUCACAUAGACAAAAUUCUUUAUGUAUCAGGAGAAUAUAAUGCCCAAACUUUAUCAUAUUUAUUCUAUUGACGUUCGAAUUUCAUUUUUUUUUAACAAAAAAAAAAUAUUUAGAAAGAAAUUAUUGUUUUUAAUAUUUAUUACUCUAAGCAGAACUCAAAGGAUUUGAGAUAAGAUUUAAAGCUAAGCUGAAACAAAAUAUUUUGUAUCGAUGAGUGUACGUAUUUGUUAACUUUAUUUCAUAAAUAAAAAAAAAGAAAAUAUAUAAUAAACAAACAGAUAUAUGUCUAAUAAUAAUUUAAAGAGAUAACCAUAAAAAGUGAUUUGCGAUUACAUAAUUCUAUCAUGAUUUAGAAAAUUUAAAUUUGCAUAUAUAUAUAUAUAUUAUUGAUAAACUAAACUAUUAUAUAUAUAAAAAUUAUCGCGUGUACACGCGGGGUUUUAUCUAGUCUAAUCCUAAAAAGUCACACACUCUGUCGAAAUUAACGGUGAUAUUAUUAUCCAAUUGGUUCAUUUGCCAAUCUUAAGCAUGUGUUCAUUUAAAUAGUUAACAGUCAAAUCAUAUCUUGUCAUAUGCAAAUAUGAGCAAAGUACUUAAGACAUUUACUAUGUCUAACUUAUAUAGACAUUUUUAUAGUUUCUUCUUUUCAAUAUCAUUUUACGUAUUUUAAUUUCAUCAACAUAAAACUUUUUACUUUUUUCUGUCAACAAUUAAUAUGAAACUUUUAAAUUUUAUAAAAAAACGUGCAGAUGACUAGUAUAUGUUACAAAAGGUGGACAAAUGCUGCUUAAGAAAAACCUUAUGGUUGACUAUAGACAUGAAAAACUUUCUUUUACUGUAUCAUAUGCUUCAGAAAACUAUAUUACAUAAUCAGCCCUCACUAAAACACUUAGAACAUCACCACCAUCAGAGCUCAUCGUGGCCAGGCUCGGUUACCAAAACAGGUCCAGGCUUGUGACUCUGGUCCAAGCACUUGUCGUCGUGUGAGUACAGACAAUCCGCCGAUGGAUGAAUAACUCCAUACCCAAAACCUUCGGCUGAGUUACAGUACGCUUCGACUUGACCGUCUUUGCCUUCAAGAUUCACAUUGUUGAGGACAAUGUGGCUGCAAGGGACUGUGUCACUGCACGCAAAUUUGAUGGCUUUUUCACUCUUGGUUGUCCCGGUUAUGUUCCGGUACAUUAUCUGGCUGAUUUUAACCGCCGAGGUCUACAUUAUAUCAAGAAAACAUAUCUGAGUUAAUUUUCAUCUUUUGAGUUUUGUUUUGACAGAAUAAUCACGAUUGUAAAGAAACCUGGUUUUGACAGGAAGUUGGAUUAUCACAGUAGAACUGAUCAAUGAGUAUCGGGUUAGAGACAUCUUGCAUCUGUACGUUUGUGAAUCGAACACCUUGAACGUAACCAGAACCUCCCUGUUCGAAAGUGAUACAAUGGAAACAAAUUGAUUGAAAUCGAGCUAAAUAGAGGUUUAUAAGCGUAAAGAUUGAAGCUUUUUAUUUCUUUAUUACCUGGUAUGUUUUAAUUCGGAGUCCAUUAGUUGUCUCUCUCAAGAACGCAGUGUCCAACACAACGUUCGUUACAAUGCCUGUUGAGUUAUUAUUACCAAGACUUCCAAUGCUGCGAGAAAUUCCACAGAAUUAUAAUUUGAUUUGAAACAGAUGUUAUCUAGAAAUUUGAAUGAUGUACCUGAUUCCAUGUCCAGGUCCACAAUAGAUAUUCUUCAUCUUUAUAUUCGAGCUUGCAUUCACAAUCGAGACACAAUCAUCCCCUGUUUAAUCCAAUCUUAAGAGAUUAUUCUACAUCCCUUGUUGGAGUUUAAAAAUGUUUCAUUUGCGUAUAUAUUUUGGUUUUAAGGAAAAAAAACCUGUGCCGAUUUUACAGUCUUGAAGGACAACAUUGGUAGAUCCAGUGAUAUGGAUACCAUCAGUGUUGGGACUAUCUCCUGGAGAAGAGACCUUAACUUUGGAGACCCGAACUGAAUUUGACCUUGCAAUGAUGAAAUUCAUCUGCUGGCUGUUCUGGAUCGUCAAGCCACUUAUUUUCACACCUGAACUAGAUUCUAUAGUCAGCGCCUGCAGGGGAAAAAGACAGCUUGUUGAAUCAAACUAACAAAGAAGAUACUGAUAAGAAAAGAAAAAAAAGGGGUAAUAAAGAACGCAAUGGUUUCUUACCGUUGGUGCACUUUUGCAAGGCUGCAAGAGAACAAGAAAGAUGUGUAAGAGCUCGAGAUGUUUAACUUUUCGUGUUAAAGAAAGCUAAUUAUGGGUAUAGAAGGUGUUUUACAUUAGACUUGUUUUUCUUGCAAGAAGCAGCCCACCAUUUGCUGCCAGAACCAUCUAUUACUCCAUUCCCUUGGAACACGACCCCUUUGAGUUUCGAAAACUCGAGCCAAAUUCUUUGGAACUUUGGGUCCCAGUUGCCGGGCUCGUCUGGUGCCACUAUUGUUCCGUCGAUCUGAAGAAAAAACAAAAUUUCUGAGUUCAAUAAGACAUACCAUAGAUCGCUGUUUUUAGAUAAUAAUGGUUAUUUAGAAAAAAAUUUAGGACUUAGAAUGUUAAACUGACCUGAAUGAUCAACUUUUGUUCACAUGGACCAAUGAACUUUGUUGCAUUUACUAAAUAACUCCGUCCUUGUGGAACCAGUAACACGGAUUUUGGUGCGGAGCAGGCCUUGCUCCAUGCGCUUACGAAUGCCUGAUUUGAGAAGAGCAUUGCACAGUUUAGUUGCGCAAAAAUAUCGAAUUACCGCAAAAAUUUAUAGGUAAAACCGGAAAUGUAUCAUUCCCCACAACCUGACGUUAUAAUGGAAUAAGCAAAAUGAUGUCAAACGCACCUGAGUAUCAUCUGAAACUCCAUCCCCAGCUGCACCAAAUGUAUCCACAUUCACCAGAUUCUUACCAGAACUUCGGCUUUUAAAUGACGGCAAAUCAAAGAGCUUUGUAUCAUUAUCAAAAUCCUCAUCAUCGUCCGGUACGUCAAACUUCUUAAGCUUCUCAAGGAUGUCGAGGUCAGUGUACACCAUUUUCCCUGCAGCUAUCAUUGAUAAACCCAGAAGGCAAAGAAUGAAGAGCUUAUCCAUCAUAUGCCUCAAUCAAAAACACCAAGAGAAGAUUCCGGUUUGAUUAUAUCCACUGCCCACUAAUGAGAUUUCUUUGCAGAGGUGAUUGGUUUUGGGUUGAAUUUAUAUGCAGACUAAUUAAUGGGGUUUGUGGGGUUUAUUGGCUUGGCUUAAAAGUACAUGAAGAAAAGGCCUUGUUUUUCAACAAUAUCUACGCUUAAAGCACAAGUCAUGUGCUUUUCCACUUCUUUGCUUUACUCCAAAACCUCUACAACACAAAACCUUCGUGGUCAACUUGUCCUUCAUGAAUAUUGGUCCCAUGAUAUCUGAAAUAAAAACAAAACGAGAAAGAAAUCCCUGAAAAUACUUCCAACUUUUUUACCUCAAAGAUGCAAUUUUAAGAUAUUUAAACAUGAUGUGGUUCAGAGGAACGAAAAGCAGACAUUCUGUAGUAUAUCAUAUGACAGAAAUAGAAGAGGUCAAUGAGUUUGUUGCACCAACCCGGCAGAUAAAGAACCUUAUCCUGUUGUGUUGUCCUUGUAGAGUGUCAAUCAUGUGUAAUGGCUUCAAGUGAAAGACGUGAACUUUGCAAAUGGGUUCAUUCUUCCUUUUUCAUGAAGCGGAAGCAAAACAUUAUCCUGCGAUUUGCAUUAUCAAUAUUUCGUGAUGACUGAACUGUAACCGAUCUCCCUCAUGAGCUCUCGCGAGGCAGCAGUCUCUCUGAUUUGCCUGGAGAUUUCAAAGUCCCCGAUCUCAAAGUAAAACUUCGAAAUUUGAAUGUAAACAGAGAAAUUCUCAGGUUCAAGAUCCAUCAAAACUUCUGCUGCUCUUCUUCCUAUUGAUUCGUUUCCAUGAAUCCUGCAGCUCUGUAGUAAUGAGCUCCACGCGAUGCAGUCUGCAUCACCACGUGCACGAAGAAGCAGCCUUUCGGCUUUUUCCACCAAACCAGCACGCCCUAACAAAUCCACCAUGCACGCAUAGAGUUUCCUUCCUGGAGAAAUCCCGUACUUUGAUUCCAAUGAGUCAAAAAUCAGCUCGCCUUCUUCAACAAGCCCAGAAUGACUGCAACCUGAUAGUACAGACAAGAUUGUAACUUCGUCUGGUACAAGAUUCUUUUGAUCCAUUUCUCUCAGCAUCUCAACACAGUCUCUUCCCAUGCCAUUUCUAGCAUAGCCAUUGAUGAUUGAAGUCCAGCAGAAGAUAUUAGGUGAAUCAAGCUCAUCAAACACCUUCCGAGAUACUUCAUUCUGACCGCUCUUUGAAUACGCAUCAAUUAGAGAGCACGACACUGCAACAUCAGAUGCAUAACCGGAUUUGAUGGCACAGCAAUGUACAAGCGCGAAGCUAUGUAAACUUGGUGGUACAGAGAGUGAUAAAGCCUUGAGGACAGUAGAAAGAGUGACUUCGUCGAUUCCAGUUCCUUCAUCAAUCAUCAAACCAAACAUCUCGAUGAUAUCUUUAGUGAUGCCACAGUGCAUAAGAGAAGUCAUCAGCGAGUUACAGCACUCUAAAGUCAGGCCAGGCAAACUCUGGUAAACCGACACAGAACUCUCAAUGUCAUUGCAUUUUCCGUACAUGUCAAUUAGACCAGACUGAACAUGAAGACUUGAAACGUCAAAACCCAUUUUGAGGACAAAGCAAUGUAUCUGCUUCCCGGACUGAACAUCGCUAUUUCUACUACAGAAAUUCAGAAACGACAUGAAUGACCGUAUCGAUGGUCUCUUACCCCAAAACUGCAUCUUGCUAAACAAAUCAAGUGAAUCAAGCACAGACCCGUAAUCUGCACACACAGAAACAAUCGAGUUCCACGAUAUCACAUCCUCUUCUGGGACAGCAUUGAAUGACUUCUUAGAACCGGACAAAUCGCCGCAAGCAGAGUACAAGUCCACAAGCGCAUUAGCCACAAAUAUAUUAGAAAUGUCCCAUCCAGAUUUAACCACUAGAGAAUGCAAUUGCUUCCCUUCGUAUAACAACCGAUCAUUAGAGCAACCACGGAUCAUAUAACAAUAAGUUAACCCAUUUUCAGUAACACUUUCAAGUCCCAUCUUUUCGUACACUCGAAACAACCGCUUGGAAUCUCCUGUCUCGCAAAAACAUCGCAAGAGCAAAUUACAAACAGCUAAAUUCCUCUCAGACAUUUCAUCAAACAGCUUCAGAGCAACAUUAAGAAGCCGCAAAGAAGCAUAAAGACCCACAAGUGCAGACCUGACGAACAUAUUACAUCCAAACCCGAGAGAAAUCACCCUGCAGUGAACUUGAGUUCCUUCUCUACAGAACCAUUCAUCGCUACACACACUCAGAACGGAAGGAAACGUAGAAGCGCUCUCUCUAAGACCAUGAGAGACCAUCUCCGCGUAGAGUUCGAUAGCUCUUAUAGAACACCCAUUUCGGCUAUUACCAGAGAUAAGAAGAUUAUAAGUAACAACAUCUCGUACGGACAUUCCAUCGAACACUUCGUAUGCAGAUGUCAGGUCCCCGGAUUUAAUCAGUUCAUCAAUCUUGCGGUUAUGGGUAUAAACGAGGUCGUUAGGGUUCUCUUCAAGAAACGAACGCAACGCUAAACGAGUCGCCGCCGUAAGCGGCGGUGCAGGGGACAAAUGUUGAGCUAACGUCGUUGUUCUGCGGAGAAAGUUUAAAGCUUGAGCUCCUCGCAUGUCUCUCGAGACACAGUAAUAUCUCUCUCCUAGCCGCAAUUCGCAUUUGAUUCAAUAUAGAAAAACAAAAUCCUUUUGUGCUCCUUGCUCAACAAGUAUCAAUCAACGUCUUCACAAAGAAACCGGCUUUUAUACUUUCUUUUUGCAAAUAUCAUUUUCCUUUUUUAUUUUUCCGAGAAUGAAUUUAAAAACUGGGCAAGGCAAAAGCAAGAAAUAUCCAAUAGAAUAUAACAUAAAAACCCAAACUUUUGACAUUUUGAAUAAGAGAAUUUGUUUAUUACAUAGACGAUCACAAAGGCUCCUUCUUUCUUAAUCGUGCUUUACCAGACCCAGAAAGUUUCAGAGCCAAAAACAAUCGUCUUCUUUAUCGCAAGCUACAACACAAUGCUUCGUAGAAGGAUGUACACAUAGAUACUUACAAAUAGUGGCCUUGAUAGAUAAACGCUAGCAAGUAGCUGCAAUUGCCUCCAAGAUAGAGACCACGAAUUGCAUCUGAGUGUCUUCGUCGAUUUUGGAGAACAAAGGAACGUGAACGAACAGAGACUUGUGUCCCUUUUGCUCUGCGAACCUGAGAGAAUGAUAGUAGACAUAGUUGCACACGAACCGCCCCGCGUCGUCUGAUUGAACCACAUCAAAGCCUCUAUUCUUCAGUGACUUGAAAAUCGACUCUGUCGAACAUGAAGUCUUUACGACACCAAAAAAAAAAACACAUUAGAAUGUUGCAAGAAAGAAAAGAAAAGAAAAACCGUGAGUUUUGCGGUGAAGUGAGUGUAUGAAUAUAUACCUCUUUGGUUUUUAAAAUGCUUCCAUCUUCAACAACUAUAGGAAGCCGCUGUGUAAAGGAAUGUUAAGAAAAGGGUAAAUUAGUUUCUAUGAGGCUCAAGUUUCUAUAAAUCUGUUUCUUAGUAGUGGAAAUCGAAUCGUUUUACUUUACCUGUGGUUGCCAGCCCAAUUGAUCAGGACAACGGAAAUGAGCUUCGUUCACUGCUUGUCUUUCAAUAGCGAAUUUUGUUGCUCCACUAUUCACCCCAAGAUGAAGCUAAAGAAGCACCAAAAAACAAGAGAAAAGGCGUGUCUUUUAGGCCUUUUAACCAUCAGAAGAAACACUCAAAUACCAAGAAGAAAACAAGUUGUAAGUUACAAGGUCUUUGGAAAAUCUAGAUUUUGUAAAGCUCUAAAACUCAUUGUAAGGAAGCAGAAACACCCGAGUAAAAGAUAUAAGGGAUCAAGAGCAAUGAAUGGAAUCAUUGCUUAGCAGACAAACACAAUGACACCCUCAUCACUGAAGAUAGAAGAGGAAAUACAGCAGAAUCACACUUUAUCGAAGCUUUAAAAUCUAUUAACAGAAUAUGAUAACUGAUGACUUCAAUGAUCAGUUUUGAAAUGGAGAAAAAAGAAACUGGAACUCAAGAAAUUACAGUAGAAAACAGUUGACAAAGAAAGAAAUAGAAGAAUCA
rnacentral:lncRNA from 1 species